rnacentral:lncRNA from 1 species
GUACAGGGCACCUUAUGCAUGGUACUAACUAGCAUAGACAAAAAGAGUUGACUUACUAUCGUGUACCAGUGUCAGCAUGAUCUUCUUGUUGCAAUAUGUUAAAUAAAACUACUAAAAUCAAGAUUCCAAGUAAUUCUGUCCCCGUUUACAUUUAUAUUUUUCUUUUUCUCUAGAGGGAUGGAGGGAGGGAAGAAGAAGAAGGAUACAAUUAAUACAACACGUGUACUUAUGUUCCAUUUCCAUCAGAAAAUUUUGAUUCAAGUUUUAGUCUUUCAUUUGAGCUUGUAAUCUGCAGGCUGCAGCCAUGUUUAGGGUACUCAAAGAGACCCCUCCAAUACCUGAAAAUCUGUCAGCAGAAGGGAAGGAUUUUUUGCGUUGUUGCUUUCGUAGGAAUCCUGCAGAAAGGGCUUCAGCUAGCACAUUACUGGAACACCGUUUUGUUACAACCUCUCAUCCACCAGAUAUUUUAUCCUGCAGUCUGUCUCUUAGUGGGAUGAAAUUGAGGGUAAACUACUUCAGCACAUUGUCCUAAUGGAUGGCUUCUCCCGGUUUAUGGUUUAUUAUUGUUUAUGCUAUUAUGUGUUGACAGGAUGAUGCAAAUUCCCAAAGAGAGCGCUCAAACAGUAAGCUUGGUCAAGUCCCUGCAUACUCAGAUAUGCAUAUUGCCAAAGGAAAAGUGACUGACAAGUAAGAGUUACUCUAUGCUUUAAAAUGUUCAUUAAUAUUUUAUAUACCAUCUUCGCAAGUUUUUACUUUUACAAGCAGGUCUAUGUUAAUGCCAAAUCAUCUCUAAAAUCUUGUCAUUUCACCGCAUUCAUGUGAACCAUCUAUUGUAAGUGCUGACUACUGAGUUGACAGUUGAAUCAGUGUUAACUUUGAAAUGUCCUUGUGCUUCAGCUACAUUCAUGGUUCUCUUGCCCCAGUGAGAUUGGCCAACGACGUCGCUACAAAACUUUAACACUACAGGUGGUAGCCCUGUCAUUCACCUCAUUCAACAUUGGAGGUCCUUCCUAGUCCAUCUCCACACUUGGAUUCAAUUAUGUGAAGUUAUUCAUGAAGAGAGGCUAACAGUGAACCAUUACAGAAAUGGAAGGCGAUCUAACACUUGUUUUAACGUGGUUUUCCAUAAAGACCUCAGUUUACAGAUGCAUUGGAACUUAUUGUGCUCUUGUAGGUAGCUUGCAGCCAUAGGAAUUGCUGUCAGUAGGCUCUUUGCCUCUUUGUUUCUGUUCAUACUUUGAGAGAUAGAAGCACAAUAGUCAUAAGAGUUUGCAGGACCUGGGUUUUCAGAAGUAGGAGCUUGUGUCUAUUCACAAGGUGUAGGGCUUGAACAAUAUAGCAGCAACCAAAGCCCAGUUAUGAUUCUUCAGUCAGAGAAUUCAACAACGGGGUUCUUCUCUGAUGUGGAACGUUUAUUAUAAGCAUGCCGGGCCAGAGUUGAAAGAAUUGUAAAUAUCAUUUUGAAUAUUUGAUCAAGUCACUGUGCUCCUGCUCUUCAGGAUUUUUUCUAGCAAGACAAAAUUUACUUGUCAACUAAUCCACAGAUUAAAAUGUAGCCAGCAUGUUUGAAAGGGGUUGCUGUGUGUGUCCCACUUCCCAUCUGUGGCCCUCUCCGUGCGCCUCUGUUGUCGGAAGAUACUCUUUGGGAGGAAGAAGAUCUGCCAUUAUAAGAUCUGUGGAGAAUAAUAAGCCUUCUCCUUCUUGGACAGAUAAUAUCACAAAUUUGAGCUGUUGCAGCAACAAGUCAUGUGCCAUUUUUCGUUCCUAACAUUUUUGUUACUGAGGUGGAGGAUGCUGCAACUUUUUUUUUUUUUUAUUAUUUAUUUUGGGGGUAAUUAACUCUUUUUAGUGGUAUAGUGAAAACGUACACACUAGUGAGGGGGAUCCCUACAGCUAACACAGAAGUAUAUCAAACAUGCAAACCUGCAAUAAAAGCCUAUAACUGCCGGCGGACUAACACGCCGAGAAUCAACAAACGCAAAAAGAACUAGAAACAGGAAAUGUGCAGCUUUUUACAAAAGGCAUCUUGAUAUGUAUGCCUUGAACACCUUCCAGCCAGACGCCAAUUCUUCAAACAUCCUUCACAACCUGCUCAAUCACAACAAUCAAAGAACAUACAGUAAAAGCUUUUGACUUGGCCCAUUUGAAUUGUUAUCUUUAGGAACUUCUAUGGAAAAAAUUUGAUGGAGGUGAGAUAAAAAGGUAAAUAGAACAUACAUAUGUUUGGAGAAAACCUAAAAAUUUUCGUGUGUAAGCUCACAUUCCAAACAAGUAUGGAGCCACUACCGGGUGGAGGAGGGUGCAACCGGAGAAGCCUGUGAAGAUUUUUCACAGAGCUUUUGUAUGCGCGCCCGCCCAGUAGUUUAGUGGGAGCUAAUGUUUUGAUGACUGAUGCACAAACCACGAAGUCAGCAAUCCAUCUAAGCAUAUUUUGGUAAUCGUUCUAAGGAGCUAAUUGUUAAUUUCCCUUAACAAUUACAUAGGUUUGAUCAUAUUACAAAUUAAUUCCUAUAAUUUAUUCAAAUAACGGUCUCACCCUUUAAAUAAUCAAACAUUUAACAAAAACUCCUUUAAUGCCGAAAAUACCCUUUUUGAGGCCAUGUUGCAUUAAAAAAAAAAACAUAUUUUUAUUUUAUUAACCCUGAAACAAUCCAAAAAAAUAGAAAAAAGUUUUUGCUUAUUAUUUUAUAAAAAUCAUAUCUUUACUUUCAUAAAUAGUUUUGAAUCAAUAAUUAUUUUAAAUCUUAAAAAUGAAUAUUAAAAAUUAGAUAAAUUGAAAGAAAAAUAAAAAAGAAGCAAUUAUUUUAAAUCUUCAAGUAUGGUUCGAAUUUGUGGUUUAAAACCUGUUGCGGAGAGCACGGGACAUGUUUUCCUCAAUUUGAACCAUACUUCAGGAAUUAAAAUAAUUUCUUCUUUUUUAUUUUUCUUCAGGGUUAAUAAAUAAAAAUAUGUUCUUUUUUUAAUGCAAUAUGGCCUCAAAAAGGGCAUUUUCGGCAUUAAGGGGGUUUUUGUUAAAUGUUUGAUCAUUCAAAGGGUGAGACCGUUAUUUGGAUAAAUUAUAGGGAUUGAUUGGUAAUAUGGUCAAACCUCAGGGGAGGUAAAUGUAAUUAACCCUUAAAAUAUUUGUUUGUCCAUUAAACUAAAGAAGAGGAAAUAGCGCGCGAAGCGAACGUUAGGGACCUUCCUUCCAGGGCAAUCCGAGAAACGACAUCGUUCCGGGCAUGGCGUUUCGUUAUCGUGAAUUGUGUAAGAUUAGGUGGUCCCAGGUCAAAGUAAAGUCCACUCCGUCAAAACUACUACAGUUAACAAUGGUAAGAAUAAAGAAUUAAUUCUAAUUGAAUCAUCCGGAAAGGUAAGCGGGAAAGCCAUUGAUUAGGAAUCUAAAAAGUUAGAAAGUCCUCCCCACAAGCCACAACACAGCAACGGUAGUCACUAAUGCUACUGGCCCAUCAUCCAUAUCCAUCCACGCUUCUACGUCUUCACCGACAAAAAAGAGUGCGAGUUUUGAGAUGGAACCUCCCCAGGUCCAAGCAAUAGACGGCAACUACCCUCCACAGGAAGAUGUGCAGGACAAAGUUGUCAAUGAAUGGUACUUUUACUUCUCCAUUCUUGUUAAUCCUUUCUAGUUUCUUCUUGAAAUUCCGAUCAAUCCUUUCGAGUAAAAUUACAAGAUUUAAUACUGCUAGUUAGCUGUUGCCAUUUUUUUUUUUUUUUUUAAGUUUUUUGGUUCUUUUAAUGGGUUUUGUUUGAUGCAGUUGUUCUUGCUUCUAUGACUGCUCGGAUAGCUGUCUCGAGUACUUUUGCUGCUACGACCUCUGUUAGUUUCUAGGAUGCCACGGGAGUACGUUUACAGUUUAUCGACUUCUUUUGCUUUAGUUAUAAGAGCUGUCAUUUUUCUUGGUGUUCAACUGAAGGAACAAGUUCAUGGUCUUUGCUGAGAAAACUUGUUUUUAAGUGGCAUAUAAAAAUCUCUUCAGAUGAGGAAGUAAUCGGUUCUUCGUUCUUCAGAUCUGUUUAACUUUUUAUUUCUCUUUCGUUUUUUAUUUGUGGCUGAUAUGAUAUAUGAUCAUUUGCGUUGUGGAUAUUAUUGAUUGCUCGAAUCAUGGGAUUUAUUAUUAUUUUUUUCUUUGUCUUGAUUCUGAAACAAAAUAGCAUAGAAUUCGGCCGACCCAUUAGGAGCUUGUCGGAAAAAAUUCACUCCGACUUGUGAUGGAAAGAAAUAAAAGGGAGGAAUCCUGCAUGCACAAAUAAAAUAAGAAAAGGAUAGAUAAUAAAUCAAGAUUUAGAUGCUACUACUUCAUUCCUUUAUAAAUGCUUGGUCGACUGUGUAUCGCAUCGGUAGGGUACUAAGAUGGUUUUGAUGUAAACUUAAUUCUCAAUGUUAGUACCACCCGUUGUAAGGUAUUAGUACCAUUGAACUUCCAUGCAUGUAUCUUUAGAUUUGUAUAGAUGCAAAAAAAAAAGUGAAAGAUUGACGACAGCUUCCGAAGGCACCAAGUACCACCCGCAUCCAUUAUUGUCAUUUGCGCCUCUUAAAUGUGUAUGAUUCAUGCCUCAAUUCAUGGCCUCGAAAAUGGCCGGAUAUUAGGUAUAUCAAUCUAUUUGGAUAGCUCAAAUUUGCCAAAUCACUCGUUUUUCAAUCCACUUUUUUAUAUUCUUAAUCAUCUUUUUAUCUCAUCUCAUGUACAUUAUUAUAUCACAAAAAGUGUCAUAAUAAUUAUUUUAAAUAAUAUUUCAAACAAUACUUUAUCCAAAUGGCUGACGAGUAACUACUUAAAACAAUGAUUUUUAUCAUUUGUAGAAUAGAAAAUAGGAAUGUGACCGACGUUAUAAACUUUAAACUAUAAACCACUUUCGGCUGGGAAUUUCUUCGCAAAUUUAUGAUUAACUUGUCUUUCGCGAAUAUUUAAAAUCUUGAGGUAUGCUACUGGAAUCCUGUUACACACACACACACUUACAUUUUUUUCUGGGUAAAAAUUAAAUUUAAUUCCAUUUUCUUCCCUUAAGAGGUACAAGUGCAAGCCCGUCAUUUGUGAUAUGCUGUUGGAGUAGCGAUUUUAGCCCAAACUUCCUAUUGGGCCCCCUUUUUUUACCAGUCCGCUGGAGUUACUCCAGCCAUCUAAAUUCUAAUCUGCGAACUGAGAGUAAGGGUUCAUUUGGGGGAGUUGCGGAUUUGAACAGAAAAGAAAGGGAAAAAAGAGAGAGUUUGAUUUUCUUUUGUUUGUGAGUUUUUAGUAAGAGAGACAAGAAAGGAAAUGGAAGGAUGAAUAGUAGGCAAAAUUUUUCCUCCCAAAUUGGAGAGAAAGUUAGAGGAAGCUUGUGAAAAUUUUUUAAAAUACCUAUUUUAUCCUUAAAAAUAUCUUGAACAAAUAUUUAAUGACUUUUAUGUUCAAAAUCAUUCCACUAAUUCUCAAAACUCCUAAAUAACAUAACAAUCUCUUCUCUUCUCUCCUAACUUAAGUUUUCCCUUCUUCUCUUUUCUGUCCUAAACUCCCAAACCAAGCCUAAAAGUUCGAUCUAUAUAUAUCUCUGUUCGUCAAACUAAAUAAUAACCCUAAUCCGAAAUAAUGCUCAACCACUGAAAAUCACGUGCUUAAUGAAUCAAGAGUGGAUGUUGAGGCUAUUUUGAACAUAGCACAACUGACUUUUCAAAAACCACUCUUGAAAUUAGUGGCCAUGCAAGCAAAACUUGAUAAGAGACAUGUAACAUGACUCGAGAUAUAAGAGUGCAGUAUAAACUACUGGAGUACUUUUUUCUGUGUCUCAUUUGGAACAAAACACGAUACCAACAAAUUAUCAACAUUUUUCGUGGCCACUCUACAUAUCCCGGCCGUCAUGGUCACUUUUAAAUUAAUCAAAGUGGUCACAAUAGCAAGAAACUGAACCACAUCCAAUGUCCCUCGAUGCGAUGGUGCGUCUGCAUUAAUAAAAAUCUCCCAGUUGACCUGAAUAUUUGCACAAUUCCAACAUAGUCGCAUAUGAUUAUUGGCCUGUUCUCUUUGCACAUCAGCGAGAUCUUUCAUCUCAUUCGCUGAUCGUUUUGGUUUUGAGCAGAAGAUAUAUUGAUGCAACUAGAUUCUUAACAGGUAAGUUGCAAAUUGCAGCGCUUCUAGAUUCUGAACAGAUAAGUCACUACCAUAGUAGUAACAAAUGUGGAGGGAAAUGAUUCAGUCAGGAAAAAGCAGCAUUUCAGCACUGCACAGGCCACAGGUUGACGAGCUGCUCUUACCUGCGUAGAUUAAGUCUUCGUCGUCUCGUCAUCCAGUCUACUUAGCUAGUGCAAAAAAAAAAGUAGUCCUUUUAAUGAUGAAAAGAGCUCGGUCGGUACAGCUCUCUCAGCGCAAUAAUUGGGGAGACAAAUGCAGAGCACCAGCAUCCCAGUUUUUCCCCGUAGAAAAACUUUUUUAUGUCCGACUGAAUCUUGAGGUUUGAUUUAUGUAGGAAGAUAGUCUAUUAUUGAUGACUCGGUGUAUUGUGGAGAAAUAUAUGCCUCAUCCCAGCACUCAGGAUUUGUAUACUUAAAACACCUUGAGGUGGUGCACUGCUGACUGUUAUCUUCACUCCCAUGAGAGAAGUUGUGGCGUUCCGCCCAACUGGGUUGAAAAACUGGAACUUGAAAGUGACAUCUUACUUCUUAGUGACCUUGCCACUAUCCGCUCUCAAUUCUUUGUGAGGGAGCAUGCAUAUUACAACGAGCUGCUCCCUUCCGUUAUAAAUUGGACAGAUUUUCCUUUUCAUCUGCACAGCCAAUUAACUUUCGAAUCCGAGUUUUAUUGCGCUUGUGCCACCGAAAUAUGAGUCCUAGUAGAAUAGUUGCCUAUAGACCCUCAACUUUUGCUUGGUUCUGCAUCUUUUUUCUGUGUUGUUCUGUUCAUGGUCAACUUGAUUACAAGUUUUACGAUGAUGCUUGUCCCAACUUAACCAGGAUCGUUCGCUAUGGUGUCUGGUCUGCCAUCUACAACGAAACUCGAAUGGCUGCCUCUAUUCUACGCCUGCACUUUCAUGACUGUUUUGUUAAUGUGAUCACACUUCUUAUCUCGUAUACUUUCCUCACGUUCGUGCACAUUGAACACCACUAACUACAAAACAUAAGGGAAAAACAAAUCACUGAAGCGAAUUUCCAUCCGCAUCAAGACGCCAAAAAUUUCAACUAAAGAAGGAACUGAGCAUACAGCAAAAUUUUUCAUUCUUGUGUGACGAAAGAAGAAAUUAAUGUUGUCUUGAACGAGUUACAUAAUAUGUCAGGAUCAACUGAUGCUAUUACUAAUUACUAUCCGCAUUAAUGGUACUUUAAGAAUAAUCUUGAAUUCACAGUAAAGAACUUUGCCUGCACAAGUCUCUAGAGCUUGAUGGUUAAUUCAGAUUACGUUUGGUGGUAAAGGGGUGCGAGGGAUCUGUGUUACUGGACGAUAGCAGCACAAUAAAGGGGGAGAAGAAUGCAGUUCCUAAUAAGAAUUCAGCUAGAGGAUUUGAAGUCAUUGAUGCAAUAAAGGCUAAUGUGGAGAAAGCCUGUCCAUCCACUGUUUCUUGCGCUGAUAUAUUGGCACUUGCUGCUCGAGAAGCCGUCUACCUUGUAAGGAACUUCUCCUUGUUCUGAGUUCCACUUCCAUUUGCAUUUCUUUGAUCAAUGUUCUUCUCCUAAUAAAUUUACCCAAGCACAUAACACCAAUUUUCUCAGGCAGGAGGGCCGUAUUGGCCGGUGCUUCUGGGCCGCCGAGACGGCCUUACUGCCAGUGAAGGCGCGGCCAACACACAGCUACCCUCACCUUUCGAGUCCCUGGCUAACAUCACCGCAAAGUUUACUGACAAGGGACUCGAUAUGAAAGACGUGGUCGUGCUUUCAGGUACUCUCUUUUUUUUUUUUUUUCCUUGGGGGGAAUCAUCAAGUUCAAUUGUCCUGACAUGAUACCUCCUUUCAUAAUACCUUAAUGCAAAAAAGCUUAAUCCUUUAAUUCUUCGAAAUUUGCAAUUUCAACCUGCAGGUGGACACACCAUUGGGUUCGCUCAAUGUUUCACCUUCAAGCCGAGGCUAUUUAAUUUUGAUGGGGCGGGAAAUCCUGAUCCAACUCUAGACGCAACGCUUCUAACCAGUUUGCGUGGCUUGUGUCCAAAUGAAGCCAGCUCCGAUUCCAAUCUGGCUCCACUGGACGCAGCCAGCGUGAGCAAGUUCGACAACUCCUAUUACAAGAAUCUCGUGAACAACUCUGGGCUUCUUGGGUCUGACCAAGUUCUUAUGAGCGACAACACUACAGCUGCAAUGGUCUCCUACUACAGCAAGUUCCCUUUCCUCUUCUCCAAGGACUUUGGGGUGUCAAUGGUAAAGAUGGGCAAUAUUGGUGUGCUGACGGGGCAGGAUGGACAAAUAAGGAAGAAUUGUAGAGUUGUGAACUAGAAAAAUGUCGUUCAAUUCCUGUAAAUCAUCAAUGGUUGUCAAUUAUGUUUUCAUGGUGCUUUUUUUUUUUUUUUUUUUGGAAUUAAUGCCUCUUUUGUUAUAAAUCCCCCAAAGUUGCAUUUUCCAGAUGCAUUAGUAAAUUAUCCAUUUUCCAUAGAACACAUGCUUUGUUUACGUGUCAGUUGAGUUUGAGAUUGAAACCAUACUAGAGAUGUAAUCGAGUCGAAUCGAAUUCGAAUAUCACCGUACUAAAGCUAUACUCGAAUUCGACUCGUUAUGCAAGAAGAAUGUUCGAGCGAAUAGUAUUAUUGAAACUCGAGUUCGAGUUCGAGUUCGAUGAUUGCUUUCAGAACUGGAACUUGACUCGCAUUGGCUCGAGUCAAUGUGAGCCUUAUUGAGUUUGAGUCAAAAAUUUUUAUUUUUAAUAAUUUUUUAGCGAAAAGACCAAUAGUUGUUCGCUCUCGCCGUGUUCUCAUUUUGCACAAAAAGUAGUAGUAGUAGUAGUACUACCAUUUAAGCCCCGAAACCAUAGGCCUUGCUUGUAUCCAUAUCAACGUCCCAGCAGGAAUAGUAGUCCACGCGCCAUAGCCAUAGGCAGUGCUAUAAAGGCAGCAGUCCUACUUUUUCCAGUAGUCAAAUGACAAGUCCGCUGCAGGAGACAGACAAAAGCCCGCUGUAUGGUUGGAGGUCUCCUGUACGGUGUCCGGGCUUAAGGCUGAAAUCCUGUAAGCUCAAUUCUUAUCCUAUUCCUACGGACCAGUCUAUUACCAGUUCCACGCCACCACCAGGACCCGGCUUGGUUGGUUUUUCUUGAGACAGCGGUCGUGAUAAUUUAUGCACGAGCCAAUUAUGGCGAGGAAGUGAUAAAGAAAAGAAAUGCACUUUGACAGGGAAUUUUCUUCUUCUUCACAUGACCUCUAGCUGGUUAUGAUAAUACAAGUUAUGCAUAGGGAUGGCAACGGGGUGGGGGACCCCUCCCCCACCCCACUACCUACAAAGUCCCUCCGCCCCCGCCCCGCCCCGCCCCGCCCCCCGUCUCCCACUUCCCCCGUCCCGUCCCGCUUUACCUGCGGGCCACCCGUGAGAUUAAUAAAAUUUUUUCUGCUGAAUUAAUAAAAUUUUAUUAUAAUUAAAUUUUAAUAAAUAAUCAAGUAUUAAAAUAUCAACACAUCAUUAAGUUAUUAUUCAUUUUAAUUUUAUAAUUAAAACUCAUAAAAACAAUCAAACAAAAAUUAUUUGAACACAAUCCAACAUGAUGAAAUAAAUACAACUAAAAUAGUUAAGUUUUUAUAUUUAUUAUGACAUAAUUUCUCGAGUUUCGACUUACUUGCUUCCGUUUUAAUACCGAAGUAGAAAUUUCAAUUUCGUUACGAGCUUUUUUACAAGUUCGGUGGUGUCAUAUGAAGUUACAAGCUUGCAUUUUUUUGUUUUUAGAACCUGUGCAGUUCGCGUGUUUGUGAUGUAAAUGUUGUUUCGAGUGGACGGCUUUGCAUUCUACUGUUUCACAUUGUGAUUAUCUGCAUAUUUUAUUAACCAAAAAGUUAGUACAGAAAGAUAGCAUCGCCGAAAAUAUAAAAAUCGGUAAAUCAAGUCUAAAAGGCUUAAGUUAUAGUGAGGAACUCCCACCUUUAGGCUCCGUCUGAGUAGCAGAGAAUGUCUGCAAACAGGUAAGUAAUUCUCUGACAAAGUGAAGUCACUGGGCAAAAAAAAUUAAAAUUAUGUCGUUUCUGAAUGUUUGUCUAACUGGAAAAAAUUAUUUAAAAGAAAGGUGUGGUUUCAUGGAUGCAGGGCUCUUGUUUCCAUCGUGUUAUUAGGGGUUUCAUGGUACAAGGUGGUGACAUUUCUGCCGGAAAUGGAACUGGUGGUGAAUCCAUCUACGGCUUGAAAUUUGAAGAUGAAAAUUUUAAACUCAAGCACGAAAGGAAAGGGAUGCUAUCCAUGGCUAAUUCUGGUCCCGAUACUAAUGGUUCUCAAUUUUUCAUCACUACAACUCAAACCUCUCAUCUGGAUGGAAAGCAUGUUGUGUUCGGGAGAGUAAUCAAGGGAUUGGGCGUGAUUCGUUCAAUUGAGCAUGUCACCACGACGGAGGCUUAUUAUCCGACUCUUGAUGUCAUGAUAGCUGAUUGUGGCGAAAUUCCUGAAGGUGCAGAUGAUGGGACAUCUAAUUUCUUCAAAGAUGGUGACUGUUAUCCUGAUUGGCCAGCUGAUCUAAGCAUGAAACCAGAUGACAUUUCUUGGUGGAUGACCGCUGUAGACUCUGUAAAAGCUUUUGGAAAUGAAAGAUUUAAGGUACACGUCUAGUUAAGAGCCUAUUCAUCAUAUAAUAGCCGUGUAAAUUUAAGCAUGCUGGUCUUUCAGUAUUUGCUUAGGUGUUAGCUUUGUGAAACGAGAAAGUACAAUAACAUUCCCAUUUACUUGACAGCUUUUUGUGUAAUUUCUCCAAAUAGGCCACAUUAUCCUUCACCUAUGCCACCAAAUUAGAUCAUCGGCCUGUAUUUUAUAUUUGUUUAAGCCUUCUUUAUUUUGCAUAUUACUGGAUGGCCUAACUACUCUGAUACAGAAGCAAGACUUCAAAAUGGCUCACAGAAAGUACUGUAAGGCUCUUCGCUAUUUGAAUACAUGCUGGGAAAUGGAUGAUGUUGAUGAAGGUUAGUUACUUCAUUCUCUGCCCAAUGACAGUUAAAACUUUUGACAAGCAGAAACUAGGAAUCACCAGAUGACAAGUCCUUCUAACUUUUGUAACUGUGUGAUUGGACAGAGAAAAGUGAUUCCCUGAAGAAGACCAAGUCUCAGAUAUUUACUAAUUGUUCUGUAAGUUAUUUUACCGUGAUGUCUGAAUUGUAAUUGCUCCAAGUUAACUGACAAUGUAUCAAAUUUUCAAGACGAUUGUACACCUUGAAGAUCUUCAUACAAUAUUAUUCAAAAUUACUAUCCACAUAUUCAAAUUUGGCUGGUAGCAUCUUUUGAAUUGUUCAACCAUAACGUACAUUUGUACUGGGCUAGUACUUUGAAAAUUGGGAUACUUUGCUUUGCUUUCUAACGAAAAUACAGAAUUCUGACUAAAUUUUUGUCUUUACUGCAACCUUAGUUCAGUUCUCUACAUGCGAUUUAAAUGCUCUCUUUUGUUGUCCUGGUUGAACGAUUAAUUUAUGCUAUCCAAGUUCCAUCAACUAUUCAAAACAUCUCACCAGUGCUGAGCUAUUUUGCUUCCUUUCUUCUUUUUCCUUUUGUGCAGCAGUUUUUUACUGAUUUCAACAUUGCAACAUUUGUAUCACAAGCAACAUGGUUGAUUAAGAUUUUCUUAUGGUGUACCAUCUGUCAGCAUAAUUUGAUACUGAAAGUAUCUCAUGUGUUGAGAAUGUCUCCAACAUCUUUUUUUCCAACUAGUUUGUGCAACAGCACAUUCUUAUUCAAAUGCUGAACUUCUAACCAAGGAGCAUCCUCUACUUUACUUGUGUAUAAAACUCCACUAUUCUCAUAUAUUUGUUCAAUGGCUGUCUUUUCAGAAUUUGAUCUAAACCUAAAAAUACAAAUAGCAGAAUUCUUGUUAAAUAAACAAUAGAAAUUUUCAACUGCUGCUAUGUGGUUUUAAACUUUUAUACGUCAGACUCUAAUUGCUGUAUACAUACACAUACACACAGAGGAACACACACACGUGUGUGCGUGCGUGUACUUUGUCCACACUUUUUAUUUUCCUAAAUAUUUAUUGUAUCCUAGUUGAAUAUGAACACUGCCACUUGCAUUAGUUGCAUAUAAAUUAAAUGCAUGUGAAGCAUUUACCCACUCCGUUUUUUGUAUUGGAAAGUAUCUUGAGAAAUAACAAAGUCAGUGUUCUAUUUUGUUCUGCCAAUGUCUUUACUUUUCCUCUCCAGGCCUGCAAGUUGAAGUUAGGAGAUCUUAAAGGAGCAUUGCUAGAUGCAGACUUUGCCAUUCGUGAUGCAGAUGACAAUGUAAAAGCUUUCUAUCGCCAAGGUCAGGUCAGUGGUUUCAGUAGCUUUAAUUAAAAUAGGCUAAAACUAACCAUUUUGUCUUUUUAACUUUCUCAACUUUUACUCUCAUCCAUUUAAUUGCAAUGUUUUGCCGCUUAUUUGCAGUAUUUGCUUGCUGUGCUUUCACCAUUUAGGUUGCUUGCCAUACUAUAAAGAACUUGGCAUUCUUUCUUGCUGGUGAUUAUAAUGUAGUUUAAGCAAUAUUUUCUCUUUUGUAAAGAUUAGACAGAUUUGAACAGGAUAAGUAUUUACCUGUUGUUGAGACUUGAGAUAAACCAGUAUUCAAUUAAAAUAAUGAAAAUUUCCUCUCCCCCUCCCCCUCCCCCCCCCCCCCCCCCCCCCCCCCCCCUCCAAAAAAAAAACACAGGAAUGUAUGAGAGAACUUUUAAGAAGGAGUGGUCAAAUUUUAUUCAUAACUAUUUGCUGCUUGUGUGCAUUCUCACUUGUGUUUUAUAUGUAUAUCCUUAUCUGCGUCAUCUAUAUGCCAUGUUUUAGCAUGUAUGGCUUGCACUAUUUCUUUUGUAGAUUGAUCUACUUCAGCUGGGUAGACAUUUGCACUUGAUCAACUGUUUUGAAGGCCUUUAAUCUGUCCUCACUAAAUUCUCAGGCAUACAUGGCACUCAACGACAUCGAUGCAGCAGUUGAAAGUUUCAAGAAGGCACUGGAUUUGGAGCCAAAUGAUGGUAAAUAGCAUACACUAUAGAUGUUCAUGAAAUGGAAGACCAAAUUUUGGAUAACUGUAUUGAGUUUUGACGCACUAAUUGAAAUAUUUCAGUCCUGCGUAGAUUUAUUCCAGACAUAUGACUAGAUGGAUAGUUAGACAUUAAACUUCUUUUUUUUUUUUCAACUUGCAAAUCUCCACUGUUGGAAAAUAGUUGAUAUUAUCUGGCUUUAGCAGAAAAAAAUUUGUUUAGAAUGUAAUAAUAUCCAUAGAUUUUGUGAAGGUUUGUAUUUCGGGUCAACAGCAAUUAGAUGACUAAUCUGAAAGAGCAGGGUUAAAUUUAUGCUUAGAGGUAGUACGUUAAAAUAUCUACCGUCUCCUAUAAAUGAUCAAUAAUUGCAUUACACAUACUGUUUUCAGGUGGAAUAAAGAAGGAGCUUGCAGCAGCAAGGAAAAAGGCCAGUGAAUUUGAAUCUUGAUAUCAACAGCUUCAUGCUAGACAUUGUCUUUCUUGUCAAAAUAUCCAAAUACAAAAAUGUAAUCCGACUCCCAAAAGGGCUUCUCAAAUUGCAGGUUGCUGAUAGACGUGACAGGGAGAAAAAGACUUACUCAAGAAUGUUCCAGAUGAGCUAAAUGCAGAUGAAUGGUAAUUUGAAUUGAUUUCUUGGAUACUCUUCUUGACAUGGAUAGAUGGAGAUUUUGAAUUACAAAUUCAUUUGCAGGCAGUAUUCAACAGUUGUCAGGUCUUCUGUACAUGCUAGGAUACAUUGAUUAACAACUGAAAUCAGGUACUUUCACCUGUAGUUACUUUUGUCAACGUGAAGAUCGUUAUUUGUUUCUUUCAGAAGAUGACUUUUUGUGCUCUGGCCUCUACUUUUCUCCCUCUGACAUUGCUGCUGGACAUACUGAAUUGCACAAGAUAUGAAAUUUAGUACAUUUGUUUCUGCUCUCAAUAGUAACAUGGCAAAUCAUUUUCUUUCUUCUAUACAGGCAGUCUUUUUGUGGAGUUCGAGUUAUUUUGAACACAAACAUGAAAUUUCAAACACCAAAUAGGGAUAAUUAUACAGACUUGAACUCAAAGCGAUGUUAUGUGUCAAGUAGAUCGCAAGUACAUGUAUGCAUCUGACAUCAUCUGAAGUAUGUUUUGAUCUUGACUACCAAAGCUCUUAUUCCGCAAAAUGUGGAUAAUUUCUUUUUCUUGGACAGAUAGCUGUUUUUACUUCUUGAUAUUUUAAAGCUCUGUUGUGGUUGCCUCUGGCUAGAUUUGGCCUGUAAGUUGACCUGAACUUUUGGGAGACUGUUUUGUCCAUUUCUGGAGUGGAAUCUUGCCUUGAGAUUUUGCUCUUGUUCUUCCCCUUCUGCUGCAGUAUGUUGAUUAAUGACCCCAUGAGCAGGAUGUUUCCUUUUGCUUGAUCCAUUCUUUGAACACAAGUUCUGCAAUCUUCUGGCAGCUGUCUCUUGACUUUCCUCGGCUGCCUGUUUUUGUUCCAUAGAGACUGCAAUUCGCCAUUCUGCCAGCGAAGUUUCGUCUCUAACUCGUUUUGUUAACGCAUGGUACUCUUCUUGAGUAAGCUUGACCACAGUGUCAUCUGUCUGGAAAAGGCUGAUGUAGCGUUGUGCUUCAUGAGCUGAUGCAGCAUAAGCUUCUGAUUCAAAUCGUAUUGCUCUAAGGGUGAGUUGCAAAGUGCGAAGAGUCUGCCUCCUUAGACGUAGAACUUGUUUCAGUUUCAAUCUUGUUCUGUGUUUUUCGUCUCUUUCCAUCUUGAGCUCCUCCAUCUCUUCCUGCGUCUGUUGCAAGACCUGAUUUAUCCUGUUGAUCAUUGUUCGGAUCUUCAGUUCUUCCUCCUUCUUAGCCCUGAUAGAGAUACUCAACCUUUCAAGCUGAGACUCGAGCUCUGAAAUAGCAACGUUGGAUGGGGAUGUUCGGCUCUUUGCAUCUGCAAGUUCUGACUGUAGCUUUUCAAGCUCAUCAAUCACAGGUCUGGAAUCUAACCAGGAUUGUACCGCCUCAUCCUUAGCCUUCGUGAGUUUCUCCUUCAGUUUUUGUAGUUCUGCCAUCUUGGCACCCAUUAAGGUCCCAAUAGUUUCUCCUGGUUUUCCUUCCUUCACUUCAGACUGAUCCUCCAUUUCGCCAUAGGAGUCCAUUUAGCUUUUGCGCUUAUGAAGAAAGGUACUCAUGUUGAAUUGAGCUGAGUUCGUUUCCAAUGCGUGGACGUAGAGCAACCUUGUUUAUUGGUUUUUCCUUUCUGUUUGGUUCCCUGCGAGAUUGGACUACGAUGAAUUGACAGGUUCCAUAAAUAUUCGAUGAACAAUACUCGACAUGAGCUUCUGAGGAUCUUAGGAUUUGUUUUCCUUAAGCGGGUUUGGAGCUUUGGGGAUAUCGCCUUGUUUUGUAGGUUUUGGGAUCGGACGCUAGCCGUUAGAAUUUUGGUUCAACAUUUACGUAGGACAAGAUGCCAGUCAGUCGGCCGGGGCAGCAUCAUCUGUCUUAUGCUUUCUUUAAUUUCCCCGAAUCAGCUAUUACCUAAUGAAUUGGUUUGGCUAGCUCGAACCCCCUUUUAGCCAUUCGUCUAAAGACGUUGGUUACUGAUACUAAGCAGAUUAAACAAUUGACAACAAUAAGCGUCUUGCGAUUUUAUUUGCUUUUUAAGGGCAGAAACAACAAAUGUUUUCUGGCUGGGGACUGGAGAUGUGGUGCGGUGGGGUUUAGGGGGACGGGGAACAUGCAGCCUGGCGCUGAUGUCGCCAAGGCCUGUUUGAUAAGUUAAUUUAACAUUUAAAUUUAAUAAAUUUAGAUUUUAAUAUAUUUAAAUUGUUCGAUAAUUAAAAAUUGAGUAUCUGAAUUAAUUAAUUGGCAUUGAAUUUUUUAGGUAAAACUUGCUCUCAAAAUUAAGUGUUAAAUUAUUCACUUUUCACUGAAUGUGAUAUGUAUUCAAUUAUGUUAAAUUUAAUACUUAACAAUUCAAUAAUUUAAUAAAUUUAAAUUUUAUAUUUUAUAUUUUAAUUUUAUCAAACGCACCUUUACUAUGCAUUUACCUUUGCGUGUCUUUUGAAAAUGAGAUUGGCCUGCGACAGAGAUGUGCCACUAGGCCCACCACUCACCCUGGGCCUGGGAGUGGGUUGACACUGUACAAAAUCUGUUUGGUAACUCAACUCGAUUUUUCCAUAGCGUUCCUCACAAAAUCAAAAGUUUUAUAGGGUAAGAACGCCAGCCCAGCCAAGUAACAUUUGAUCGAGUACUUACUCUUGAUCUGACUCAAACUCUCCACCAUCUUUUUCCUGCUAAACUUUUUUGUUUUAUUCCAUUAAUCGGUAAGUUUUAUAUUACAUGGCAUUAGUUACUAGAUAUUUCCAAAACAUAUUCACGUAUCUUAGCUCAUAAUUUUUUUUGGUAAUGAUGUUUUGUUCUAAGCCCGAUGCUAGCGAACUCUCCUACUUUUGAGCAAAUUGAUAUUGAUACCUGCGUCAAUUAUGAGUUUGGUUUUUUUUUUUUUUUUGGUUGGUAAUACACUGAAACUCAUUGUGGGAAAAUUCAGUGAAAAAUAAAUUUUGACAUGCGUAAGAAUCGAGCAAUUAAUGAUCUCUCAACCAUCUGAGAGAGAAAUGAAUGCUUGGAAUUUUUUAGCCCGGCGAGAAAAGGAUAUUAAUCCUUUGGAUGCUAGUAAAAUGCCUACAAAACAAAACCAAAAAAAAUGCUAAUAAAACAUUCUAAGACGAGAAUCGUCAGUUGGCUAGUCGGAGCUUCCUUUCAUCCGAAAGCAGCUUGGCAAAUUGUGUAAGAGCUUCUUCGUUGGUGCCCUCUCCUUGAACAGCCUCAGAUCUUCCGGUCUCCAAAUUCACCCUCGACACUGGCUUCUUCAGCAGGCUGUUGCCAAUCUGGACUAGAGUCUCCAUAUUUUCCGUGGUUGCGACAUCAACUGAUGAUGCAUCCCCAGUCAAUCCCUCUUCCUGUUAUUCAAAGACCAAGUGGCCUCAAUUAGCAUGCACUCGUGUUGUGGUUUGAUGCUAACAUUCAUUAAAAUAUGGUCACGGGUAUAUGGAAACUUAUUAUUAUUAAUUAGCACGGCACUUGUUAUUUUGGCUUUGUGUUUGUUUGGUUACCUGGAUGCGAAGGUAAUUUUUCUCACUGCCAAGUGAUUGGAAGAGGGUUGAAACGUGUAUAUCAACCAUAUCAGAUGUUGCAGCACCAAAAACAUCCAGCAGCGGCGUGGCACCAUUGCUGUAUACCCAUCCCAGCAACCCCCACUGGUUAGCCGCUGCGGCAGUGUAUUUUUCCUCGUUUUUGGCCAUUCCUGUGCCUAGCGACAACACCAGCAUUCUAUUGCUCUCCAUGGGCUUCAAAUCCGUCAAUUGAAAUUGGCCCGUCAAAAUUUGUUUGGAAAUAUGGGUUAUGGCCAUCAGAGUCUAUGGAGAAUUAUAUUAUUUCAAAGGAAAAAAAAUAUAAAUAAAUCAGCUCCUUUUAGACAGCUUUAUAAGUACCAGAAAGCAAGUCUCUUCUAUAAGCAGCUAAAUUAAGGAGAGGGAAGAUGUGCAACACAUGGUGAUAGAGAUACUGACUGGAUUAUUAGCAGCAACUCCUCCAUCAAUGAGAUCAAAGCUGCGUGUGUUCCCUUGUGCGUCCUUGGUCUCGAAGUAGUACGGUGGAAGAUAGGUGGGUGCUGCGGAAGUGCUGAUGCAGACAUCUGAUAGCAGAGCAUUCUUAGAAGCAUUUGCUUUGGCCUGCUUAAAAGUAUAUUCAGGCACGUUAGUGUGAUCUAGCAUCCAUCAGUAAAGUCUUUUAUAGCACUACUAGUUUACAGGGACCAUACGUCAAUUGUGGAGAAGAUAAUCGGUUGAAGGCGCUUGAUAUCGAAAGUGGGUAUGACCACGUCUGUUAACGUGUUUUCCAUGGUGAGAUUGCCCAAUAGUCUCUUUAUCAACGAGUGCAAGUACUUGCCAUCGUACUUUGGUCCUCCCAACAAAUUUGUAAGCGAUUUUACCACGUCCUUGCGGCUUGAUUGAUUACACAAACGUUCAACAAUAAAAUAGAGGCAGAAAUUUUUUUUUUUUCUUUUGAAAGGAAUCUGAAUUUCGAGGAACUAAAAAGUUUUGGUCUUACUAAGUUUUUGGUUAUCUUGUAUACCUGCUCUCGGGAAAGAUCUGGGGGGAGUUUUGCAAGUAGAAGCUGGUUAUGUCUUUGGCAGCGUAAAGAGGGCGGCUGUCCUUAUUUGGGGCAGUGAGCAUGGUGGUGACAAGCCCACCUGUGCUAGUCCCUGCAACUACAUCAAAGUAAUCUGCGAUUCUUGCAUUCGGUCCAUCGAGUUCCUACCAAACAGUCAAGUAUGACGUACUUUUAAGUACUACUACAAACUUAGAUUGGUUGUAAAUGGGGUUUUAUGUUGUAUACUUAAAAAUUCAAAACAUGAUUAUCUGAAAUACCUGAAGUUUGGCUUCCAGGAAAGCAAGAAUGGUGCCGGGAAUGAUGCCUCUGAUACCCCCUCCGUCUAUGCUUAGAACUGUAGCCAACCUUCCUUUAGUUAUAGCAUCUGUCAAAGGAGGUUGUAGGAGGUUGAAGGUUGUUAAUAAGGCAAGUGUUAGGAUUAGCUGAUUCAUCUUCAUGCUUUGGGCCAAAUUCCGACAGGAUCUAUAUAUAUACACAGAUAUAAUCUAGUACUUCCCUUUUCUUCCUUUUUUUCGGCGAGGAACUGGAUUUUAUAUUCUCAAAUCUAAAAUAUGCAUCAGGGGGAAUCAAGAAACUGGCAAGUAUUUUGCAGAGAAGGAUCUAUAUGUACUUGAGAUUUCUACGAGUAUGAUCUCAGUUCUGGUUUGCAGCCAUGGGUAGACUUUUCCAUCAUCAACGUCCCAUCUGUUUACGGAAAAAGAAUAGUCCCAUUUCCUCCUAAAUGGGAUUGGCAGUGAAAGUUUCUUCACGUGUCAACUUCUUAUCUUUCGUCGCCUGACUAGCUAUUUUCGAUCCGGUACCAUACUACAUUUAUGGUACACCAUAUAUGAAAGCUGACAAAGCAAUUGUCUUCCUUUUUUUUUUUUUUCAAACCGUAGGAUUUCAUAAUAGUUUGUUGAUUUUUCUUGCAGUCAUCAAUUAUUGAAUAAGUACUAUUCUUUUGGGCUGCGGAGCAAAUUAAGCUGCGUACUCUUUAUUGUAAAAGCACUUACGUAUUAGACCUGUAAGAAAAAUCUGGAUGAUUUUUCGUUUCUUCAUACCAUACCGUUGCUAAAUGAGCUCAGACGUUUUUCGUCGAAAAAUUACAUCGUUUUUCGUGAUCACAUUUCCCUAUUAUCUUUUUUUCUCACAUACAUCAAAUCACUACAGUAAUUUUUUCACGAAAAAUCAUGGAAAAUGCAAUCCAAACACAACCUAAACUUGGGGAGAAAAACUGAAGCUUACCACAGGAGAAGCCAGUUAAUUCUCUUUUAAAUGUCGAAAAAGCAAAAAAUAAAAGAGUUUCAGGAGAAUGACGAACAUAAUAAAGUGAGGAUUUAGGAAGUUGAUAUGUUCUAAUCCCCGCAACAAUCUCAAUAAUGUGACCCAAUUAUUUGACUGAUCAUGACAAGUAUAUUACGUGGAUUGUAAUUACAUGAAAUGAGACGUAAAAUAGUACAGUUUCUCCCUUCUUGAUUUUUCUAUUCCCUGGAUUAUUUAUUGCCCUUAGCAAAGGAUUAGGGCGUAGAAAACCCAGUCACAAUAAAAUGCUUCCUUUGAACUUCACAAUCAUACGUCUCUCAAUAGCAAUAACAGCAUCGCUUUUUGAUCUAAAGGUCUUCCCAACGCGUUUUUCUGCUCGACUAUCUCUCUCUCUUUAGUCUUUUCUCGGCGAGUUACUUACGAACCGGAGUUUCCUGAAUUCAAAAGCGUCCUUUUGAUCGUCGUCAACAAAGCAUCUUGUUCAAGGGCUGAGCUGACCCGACCAAGAAGUGUUCUUCCUUUGCAACUUCCGACCGAAUGGCAUCGGUUUUUUCUUGAUUGUGAGAGGUACAUAAAUAUUCCUGACCAACAUGUGAUAACCACUUAAAAUUGUGAGUGGGAAGCAUGGAUGAAUCAUUCGCUGUAAAGUGUAAAAGCCCCGCAUGCAUUGUGGGCGAAUCAUCUUUAUCUUUGCCUUCUUUGUCCACACCUAACGAAAAAAUGUUUGAGAAUGAGAAAACCCAAUAAGUUCUUCUUUGCUAAAAUGUUUGGGUUGGAAGUCUAGGGCUGCAAACGAAUCGAGCCGCUCGCGAGCGGCUCGAGUCAAGCUCGAGUUAAACUCGAGCUCGAACUCGAGCUCAGAAUAUUAAGCUCGUUAGCUCGCGAGCUGACUCGCGAGCUUGAGUAUAUAUAUAUUUUUUAUUUUUUUUUUAUUUUUUAUUUAAUAAUAAAAUUACGUAUAUUAUAUAUUUUUAUUUUUUAUUUUCAUAGUAAAAUUACGUAUAUAUCCUUAAUAUUUUAUUCUUUAUUAAGAAAAAAAUAUUAUUUUAUUUAUUUUUUAAAAAGUAAAAUAAUUAUUUUUUUUUUCGAGCUCGACUUGAUUCGAGUCGAGCUCGAGCUUGAAAAUUGCCGGCUCGUCGAGCUCGAGCUUGGUAAAAUUUAGUCGAGGCUCGGCUCGAUUAGCUCAAAGCUCGACUCGGCUCGGCUCGUUUGCAGCCCUAGUUGGAACGAUGAACGAUAGACAUGUCGAAUUCAGUUGUGUGUAAUAGAAACAAAAUGGAUUGAUUCACUGAACUCAAACUAAGGUUCCGUCUGAAUUCUUAAGUCUGAAUUCUAAAAUCUGAAUACUGAAACAAUUAAUUUGCUAAAUUUUAAGUACUGAAAAUAAAUACAUGAAUAUCUGAAUUUUAAUGUUAAAUCUAUUUAUACUGUUUGAUAAAUAUUUUAUAACUAAAUGCUUAAUAAGUUAAAUUUGACAAUUUUGUGUUUAUAUCUUUUCAUCCAAAAAAGAAAUAGAACCUAUGAUUUAAUUAGUUUAAAAUUGUUAGGUAUGAAAAUGACAAUAAUAUUUAUUUUUAAAUCAAAUUGAUAUAAAAGAUUAAAUAUAUUAUAUGAGGAGUAUGGAGAAGGUGUGAAAGUUAUUAAAAAGGAAGAAAAGGGAAAUAGAGAACCGUUAGAUAGAAAAUAUCAAAUUAUUUAAUUAGAUAAAAAUUUUGAACAUAAUUAACAAACAAUGGUAGAUUUGAUAGAUAAAAUAAGUUAGUUGAAAUAAUUAUAUUGAUUCUUAUCAAAAUUAAGCAUUCAGUUAGGAUUCUUGUACUGAAAAAAAUACACACAAAUUUAGCACUGUUUAACAAGUUCAAUAGAUGGAUUUUCAUUUAUCAAACACUCAAAACAUCUGAAUGUAUGAAACAGUUCAGGUUGAGCACUUUUUAUAACUAAAUAUAGCAUAUUAGUCAGCUGAUUUAACGUUGUCGCAGGAGGUAAAGUGUCACGGGGAAAAGACUCCAUGAUUCUAGGGUGAAUUCACCGCUGGGAGUCUGAAAUGACUUCUCCGAUGUAUGAUAGCUGAGGCACCGUCGGGCUUCAAUCAUUGGAGAUUGGAUCCUCUGCGAUUGUAAUUUGUAAAUGCAAUCGCAUGAGGCAAUUAAUGGCUGAGAUCGGCCGAGUCGAAUCAAAACUGAUCUCAAUCCUUAAUUUGAAUUUCAUAAUUUCAUCCUUUCUAUCUUCAAAAUGCUUCUUUUAAUUCAACCAUUUAUGAAUUUUUUUUUCCUAUAGAGAAGAACCAUUUAGGAUAUAGAAAGCAUGUAAUUCGAUUUUCCAAUUAGUAGCAAAACCGACUUUAGUAAGACUUCAAGAAAGAUAAAAAGAAAAUAUGCACGGAAUGAUAUCUUUGUCUAACAUUGCCAUACCGAAGAAUUAGUUACACCAGAUUAUCACAUCCAACUAUUGAUGUACAUAUUACUAAUUGGCGGGGUUGUUCAUCGGCCCGGUGAUCGGUAAUUCAGUAAAAAGAAAAAAAAAUUAAUUUUUUUCAAUUUUUUUUCAAUAACGUCAACAUUCAAUUAUCGUCCAAACUUUUACUUGGUAAUUGAAUUUUAGUCGAAUAAUCGGUAUUUCGAUAAAAUACCCAAGAUUUUUAUAUUGAUUUUCUAAUAUAGAUUAGUUAAGUACAUUUAAUAUGUAAUUAAUAAUAUAAAAGUUAUUAAUAUGUUAAUUAAUGUGCUUUUAAGGUCACAUAUUUGUUUAUGAGCAUAAAUUAUAGCAUAUAACAAUAAUAUGUAAUAUGACAUAUUAUUAGGCAUGAAAUAUAUAAAAUAUUGACUUAAAAUAUGAAAUUUAGUAAAAUCAGGAGUUCAGAAAUAGAAUUUCAAUAUCCAUUUCCAAAAUGUUUCAUCAAAUUUUAAGAUUAGAUCUUAAUCGAUUUUCUCGAAUUCUAUUUCAUCCGUAUCCAAUUUUUGAUCUAAAUUUGAUCGACUGUUCAUUCGAUUUCUGCCGAAGUGUGAACACCCUUGCUAAUUGUUGAAAAAAUGAUUUGAUAAUUGAUGAUGAUCCAGCUGAAGCAUGGAGAAAAAAAUGACCACGUGACUUGAUGGGGAAAAGAAAAGUAAUUUUCAAUCUCGGCAGUCAAUCUAAAAGGCUAUUGGUCAAAGACGAGGGAAAGUGUUCAUAAUUAGUUCCCAUUUGGCAAUUUGCUAAAGGCAGUUUCAUACUUUUGGAGUCUUGCAAUUCACGUUUGGUUUGGUCCUACAAACCCCUCAAUUUGACCAUCCUUUUCAGUCCAAAGUUUUGCUGGUUGUUAACCAUGGAUCAUAUCGUACACAAUACAACACAGGGUGAUAAAUGAUAAUUUGAUGACCCACCGGCUGUGGCCGAAUUGAACGAGUUUUAAGCACUGCGGAACUAGAUACAGGCCUGUAAACGCAAGUAUACAGCCCAAAAAGUGACAUUUGGGCCAGUAGCAAACCGUCUGGUGUUCCUGGUCCAGAAAAGUCCAGAGUCCACACAAUAGUAAGAUAUUUAUCCAGAGAAGAAAAACAAAGGAAAACGGAAAUACUUACCAUCGUCAAAUGACCCGUGUGUGUGCUGUGAAAAUAUUCCAAUUCCCCCGCCACGCAAACACUCUGAAGUCUUCUUCACCUUCUCCGUCGGUUUCCGAAACGCUCCGUUUCAUCAUCUCUCCUCCGUUGAUCCACAAUCCAGGAACAAGCUCCCUUUCCAUCUCCUUAAUGGCCCAUUCCAGGCCCAGGUUUUCUCUAUUUGAAGUUACUUUUUGGUUUUUUUUUCCCCUGAUUAAAGUUCCAUCCAAGCCUUCUUCUUCUUUUUCAUUUUUCUUUUUUCAUACCUGUUUACUUGGCUCAGGAUUUUAGAGCAAGCCGAGGCCGAUUGCGACGGUAAAAUUACGGAUAAUAUAGCAGGAGAGCGAAAGUACGCUGAAAUUGUUGUGAUACGUCAUGGUGAAACCGAAUGGAAUGCCGAUGGGAGAAUUCAGGUUUUUCUGACGGCAGUUACUAGCUCAAUUAAUUUUGUUUACGGAAUUUUGAUCCCAAAUUUAUGUUAUAGUAGAUAAACAAUUGCCCUAUCCCUAUCUAUCCUGUCAGGAUAAUCGUUACUCUUCCCGUGUAUAAUCUUCUAUGAAUUGGUAGAUUCUCUUCAAAAUUAGUGAUGUUGUUUAAUCUUCGUACAUAGGGGCACUUAGACGUUGAGUUAAACGACGUAGGAAGAGAGCAAGCUACCGCGGUAAUCCUUGACUUGUGCAAUACAGUUUAUGCAUUUUAUCAUGCACGUAGUUGGUGUGGUUUAAGGAUAAAAGUUCUGUUUGGUUUGUUAAAAGGUGGCUGAGCGAGUUUCCAAAGAGUUCAAAGUCUCUGCGGUUUACUCAUCUGACUUGAAGAGAGCAUUUGAGACUGCACAGAUUAUAGCAAGCAGCUGCGGGGGCCUUCAGGUAUCAAUUAGUUAUUAAUCUACUAGUUUGCCAUUCACCCAAUUCCUCUUGCUAAGUUGUGCUGGAUAUGCGAAUAAACUAGACUUUGGUAUCACUAUCUGAUUUUGAGCAUUGGAAGUGCUCACUGCUGAAUUCUGGUCAGCAAUUGGUUGGAAUCUAUCAUUUUCCUCGUUUUAAUGAAGGCUUCAGUUUAUGUUUCUUCUAUCUUGAUUGAGAAAGUAUGUACUCUGUGUUCCUUUUCUGCAUUAAAAUUUUUUGAAAUUGAUUGGAGAUGAUAUAAACACGCUGUGUGACUUUCUUUUCAUGUGUUUCCCAUGGAAAGUUCUCAUCUAGGAGGUCUUGCUAGCAUUUUUUAAAUGAAGUUGAAGUCUGCAUUGUUGUCAUUAUCGCAGUGAACAGAAGAAUGUCUACAUUUAGGAGUUACCAGCAAUCUAUAUAUAGGAGUUAACUGCCAUUUUAUUGGAGUUAUUAUUAAGAUACUUCUCUUUUAUUCCUGUAACAAAAUGCAAAUGUGUCUUAGCAUUUGCAUAAAGGCCUACCAGGCAUGGAGGUGGGAAAUGGUCUACAUGUUUUACAACAUAAAUUUUAAUGCCAAUGGUGGUCCUUAAAAUAUCGGUAUGUAGACCAUCAAUUGAGCAUCACAUUGCUUGUUUUGCAUUGUUGGGAUCAGGUUCUUGAAGACCCAGACCUGCGGGAAAGACAUCUCGGGGAUCUCCAAGGCCUAGUGGUUCGUGAAGCUGCCAAAAGCAGUUCGAAGGCUUAUAGAGCAUUUGUAUCUAAACGAAGGGAUGAAGAAAUUCCAGUGAGUUUUAUGUUUUAUAUCUGUUGCGGAUGACCAAUGCACCAUUAAAUUAAGUCUGUUUCUAUGGUUGUUAGAACUAUAUUUUCAUCAAAGUGCCUCAUAGACACCUUGGUCCCUAAUGAUUACCUAAGAAUUAACUGGGCUGAAGGAGAGGUAAUGGCAGAAAAGUUGGUUGGAUAACAUUUUGAUGACCUCAUUCUAUUUGGAAGCACCAUUUUGUCUCCCUGAUUGGAGACUUCAUUGACUGAUAAUGUUGCUUUUUAUCGAAUAUGCUCCUGACCCAGUAAGUACGGCCUAAAAUUCUACUUCAAAAGUAAGUGUAUUGCUUGAUAUCUUCACCAGCAAUGCUUGGGCUGAUUUUCUUUACUUGCUAAAAUGGUACCUUCCUGAAAAAAGGAGUAAUGUAUCUUUCAUUUUUAUUUGUUGAAUAAAAUAAGUUUUCAUCCUUUAAUUAGCUCUGUCUUGGAAGGAGAUGGAUGCCUCAUGAUUGUGAUGGUGCUAAUUUGCGGUCAAGCUUGUUAUUCAUUUGGUUACAUGUCAAAUUGUUAGGUUUAUAAUCCCGUGUUUUUGAUCGGCGCAGCUGAUGUUAAGCUACUAGACACUAGAUUUGCUGGUGCUUAUCUAUUCCCACUGGAAUACUGCUCGUGGGAUCCAAUAACCUUGUCUGAUACUGGAAGUCCUUCUAUAGUUGCAUGGUUGUAUAGUGUAAUUGAGUAAGGAUGCAUAGUUUCCUUGUAGGUGCCUUUGGCAUUUGCAGAGAAACCAAGCAGUUUUUUGGUUCAACCAAUUUUUUCUCGAGUAUCUUUUUCCCUUGACAUGGUAUACCCAAAAUUCACCCUGCAAUAACAAGAUCCCCCUUUUGUAUCAUUAAAAUGUCUGUAGUUUAUGUUUUUGUUUCUAGAAAAUGAAGAUUGACACAAAUACUUGUAAUAAAACAAGCAAGUUGCACAAAAUUGGUUUAAAUGGUCAGAUUGGACAAGCCUACCCGCUCCCCUACCUUCCAUGUAACACGACAAACACCAUAAACAGAGGGUAAUUGACUACUACUUGCCAUUGCAGGGUGGUGGAGAAAGUCUUGAUCAACUUUAUCAACGCUGCACAUCUUCGCUGCAAAGGAUUGCAAACAAGCACAUAGGUACUACAAGACUCAAAAUCACAAUGGUUCGUGGAAAAAUAUAGCAUGUGAUCCUAGUUUCAAUUGCAGGGGAGCGAGUAGUUGCGGUCACUCAUGGAGGAGUUAUCAGAGCACUUCAUAGACGGGCAUCUUCACAUGGGCGGUCUGCUGGGAAGAUUAUGAAUACAUGUGUCAAUGUAUUUCAGUUGUCUGAUGAGGAUGAGUGGUCCAUUAAAGUAUGGGGUGACGUGAGUCAUCUUAACCAGACUGGCAUUUUGGAGUCUGGUUUUGGUGGGGACAAAUCUUCUGGUUAGUCUUUACAUGUCUACUUGACAUCGACAAACCUGGAAUUUUGUAGGGGACAUGCCCCUUUCACCAUUAUAAAUCGCUGAAACAUUCGAAUUGGUUCAACAACUACGAUUAAUUAAUUAGAAUCUUCAUUAUAAUUUUGACAAUGUUGCGACAUGUGAUAUGUAUGUAUCAGCAUGGCCAUCAAUUGUCAUCCCGUUUUGUAAUUUUUAUUUAUCAACAAAGCCGGGACAUGCAAGGAUAAGUUGAUGUCGAAAACCAUUUAGGAAAUGGUGGAAGGUGAUUAGCCGUCAGAUCAGUUGCUGGGGUAAGAGGUUAUCUUACUUAGAUGAAGUUUUAACCGGUUUCUAACUCUACAAAAGUAUCAUGAUCACCCAAUAAGAAGGGUUUUAAUUUUUUUCAAAUGAACAAUUUGAAGGCUUAUUGAUUCUGCUUAGUCCGCGGUGCUAGCAGUGGGGUUGUAUGAGAUUUUAUUUGGUCUAAAGUGGAGCAAUUUUGAAAAGAAUUAAUUGGAUAACAAUGAAUAAUAAAAAUGAAAUAUCAAAAAGAACCAAAUGAAUAAACUGUUGCGCGGCAAUUGGCUUGUUUAUGGUAACAUUGCCAUUGAGCAAACAUGUUUCUGUUAGUGCAGGGUGUCAUGCGUGACACGUGCUGGUCCACCCUCGUCAAGCUUUUGAGGAAAAAUUAUACAAAUAGUCCUUCGUAUAUUAACUUCGUAUUUUUUUUUACAUUUUUCACAUAUGAGGUGAUUAUUUUUGACACAUGGCAUAUUGAUUUUGCACUUUUUACAUCAUUCACAUACUAAAAAAAUGAUUUUUUUGUUCCUCACAAAUGAAAAGUGCACUUUUUUAGUUCCUCAACUAAUUUCUACUCAUAUUCUUGUUGGAAAAAAUCACAUAUACCUCAUGCCUUGUAAACUUUAGCGGCAAUAUCGGAAGAUUGCAAAAAAAAAAAAAAAGGAAAAAACAUCCCUCAAAUUGCUUUCUUCUUAGCCCUAUUUUCUUAACAAAAAAUGUGGCAGCGGCCAUGUUUGUCUCUGGCCACCACUAAAUUCAAUCACAAAUUUUCAUCAAAAUUCAACUUCUCGCUCAAUUUUUCACGUAGAAUCUAAUUUUAAUAUUAAUUUUUUUAAAAAAAAAAAAAACAAAUGCAAGUGAAAAAUACUAACGGUUAGAUUUUGAUUUCAGUAGUAGUUUCGCAUUUUUUCUAAAAUGAUAUAACUAAUAGGAAAAGAGGCAAUAUUUGUCGUAGCAAAUUCUAUCCGCCAAUGUUUUUUUUUUUGUAAAAAAUGAUAUCGAAGCGCAUGAGCAGCAAACUUGUAGGGGAGGGAUCAGAAUUUCAAAUGUAAAAGUAGUUUGGACAUAAAAAUAAUUUCAAUUGACAGAUGGGGAGCAAGAAGCCUCGAGCAUGAACCCUGCAAUCCUCAGAAUCACUCAAGUAUGUCUAGAUUUUAAGAUGAAAUAUUUCAACGAUUAGAUUAUCGUUCUAUAUUUCUACUUGCUUCGGUCCCCGAUUCACCGAUAAAUAAAAAUUAGUUCAAUGUCAAUUGUCAACCUAUUACACUUUCCACUCAAUAAGAUAAAUUGCGAUGUCUUCAAGUCAAACACAAGAACGGCCGUUGGUUAUAAAAUAAAAAGGAAGGGGGAAAGAAAGAAGAGCAAAUUAAUGUUGAGUUGGAUGAAUAUGAUGGUACUCGGAAGAAUUUAUGAGUAAGCAAAGGAUUUAACGGGGGAUUGCCAUUUAACCUGUCGCCAUUCUAGUGCGAUAAUGAAGGAAGAAGUGGUGGCAGUAGCUCAAUUCAUGUGUUCGCCACUUCCGAGUAGUUAUGGCGAACAGCUUUUGACAUUUUCAGUAAACAUAAUCAUCUAUCAAAAAGUUGAAAACCCCCCGUCUUUUCUCUUCACCUUCUCUCUUCCGAGCAAACAAAGAACAAUAAAACAGAAAAUCCACCCUCAAAUCAAUAAAGAAACACCGAAUCAUCACCGAGGAUAGGGUUGAAUUGAUUAGUAAGAUGGGAUGGAUUACAAGUAUAAAAUUUUGAAUUUAUGACCUUUUACUUAAAAAAAAAAGAGCCCAAACUAACUGAGUAGGUCGAAACUGAUUUCUUCCACAUCAGUAGUUAUUAAUUAUUACGCCACAUAUAAUUGACAAUUUUAUCAAGAGCAAUUACUAUCUUUACUUAAAAAUACAUAGUAAUAGUAGUAAAUACAUAAGGAGCAAAGCCAAAUCGAGUAUCAAAUUCAAGUUCUCAAUAACUAACUUAGUUGGGUCCGUUUCCAUCCUCUCCCUCCUUCCCUAAUAGAGUAUCGGUUGUAAAUUGUCCUACUCAAAAAAAUAAAGAAAUAUCAAAUCCGCGGGUGACAUUUAUUUGUAGCAUCAUCCCUCAUGUGAAAUGGUUGAAUUGGUUGCAUUUCUUGUGCAUGCAAUGUACAAUUGAAUUGACCCAUCUUUCCUGUUCAUUUUUUUUCUCCCUGGAACAGAAAACGUAUCUGGUUCGUUGACUUUAAACAUUUUAAUAACCAAAAACGUGGUACUGUUGAUCUAGUCGCAGCAUCAGAGGCAUUUUACAGUUGAAUGGUUCAGAUUUUGGGGCAUCCCAGAUUGAUUUAGUAGUCCCAUAAUAUAUAGUAGUAUUAUAGUAACAUGUCUCUGCAACUUUAAUACAUGGACGAGUUUUUCUCCAUAUGCAGAUUCACGGUCAGAGGUAAGAGAAGGAAACCGCCUGUGGCAAUUAUAAACCUUGUUUGGAAAGUAAUUUUCUAAAGAAAAAAUUAUUACGUUUUUUGUGAAUAUAUUUUUUAAUCACUUUUUUACCUCACAUAUUUCAAGUCGCUACAACAUUUUUUUACAACAAAUUUUUAAAAAAACUGCAAUCCAAUGGAUUUCAGUUUCUAUGAAAUGACUGCAAUUGGUUUUUGUAUUUUCUUCUAUAGUUUUUUUUGCUUUUAUUUUUAAAGGGGUAAGAGGAACAAGUUUUACUUAUGUCAAACAUAGAUGUGGCAAAAAGUCCCAAUGAACACCCAUACCCAAAUUUUAUUUGGGCAGGAUGAGUAUGCAAAAUAUGGAACUGGGUCUAAUUGGGAAUGUACCCACUAAUAUCCAUUUAAAAUAUAGAUCUAAUUGGGAUUUAUGUGGAAUUCCCAUAGGUUUUUCUUUCUCCAAAGACUAAGAAUAUUGAUUUUUCCAUAAGCCAAAAACCACCCAACAAUUUUGAGGCAUUUGAUUAGCAAAGUUUGCUGUGUCCAAAUUGAACUUAAAGUAAACUUACUUUCAAAUCUCAUGAAAUUUAGUUUUCGAAAGCUAAAUCUAGAACGAAAAAAGAUCAAUUGACAUAGGUUUUAUUGCAUGAUUUUUUUUUUCACAAUGCAAAGAAUCAGAAUUGAUAAACCUCAUCUUGACAUGGAUUAUACAAAUAUGUAUAAGAUCGUCUCCUCCAGAAAAUAUAGUCAGCAUUAAGUCAUAAGAAGUAGAGAUUUGGAUAGUUACAAAAUUGAAUCAUUAAACAUUUCAGGAGAAAACAUGAUUUUGAUGGUGGAAAGUUUUACAAAGUUAAAUGAACUAACUAAAUGAUACUGAAAAAAAAAAGUAAUAUUGAGGCAUUUGAUUAGAGAAAAAGAGUUUAAAAAUAUAAAAUGGGAAUUUAUUGAGUAUUUAGGCGGUAUUAAAAUGGGUCUAACAAAUUUUAGUUCCAUCCAUAUUGGUCCCAUGACUAAUAUCGAAUUGCUUGGAUAUAUCUCAUAUUUUGCAGUUUCAAUGAAGUUCGGGUUCAAAUCUUGCCCAUUUGCCAUUUAUAUAGUCAAACAUAAACGGGAUUUAUAAAAAAUUAAACAUACUUUUUAAUCUAAAAAAAAAGAUUUGCACUCCCAACCAAAUAUAUGCUAUUCCUAAUUCCUAUUGGAGGUCCCGAUCCCGGUCUAGCCCUACCCUAGAUCAAAAAGUUGAUAUCUAUUAACAUCCUUUCGGUGUAUGAUACAUUCAUAAUAAUCGUGUUUAUAAGGAAAAAAUGCUUAAAGCUCCAAAUAUAUGGGUUUUCUUUAUUGAACGAAGAAUUUUAUACCAGGGCUUUGUUUGGCAAGCAAGUUUUUUAGCCAAAUUUGUUUGUUUCAAGUUUUCUAAUAACUUUAGUUAUAGUAAUCUCAAAAAAUUUAUCAAAAUUUUUAAAUUAUACACUUUAAAAUAUUCAAAAAAAAAUUCUACAACUUUUACAGUAAGUUACAAUAAAAUUUUAGAUAAACAAUCAAAAAAUUCACUUACUAAAUUGGCCCGGAUUUAGAAGCUGGUGGAAGUAUUCAAAUUACAAGUUACGUGCUCGGUUGAGAUUACCGAAAGAAAGCACGCUGUGUUCAACCACACUUACUGGAGAUGAUAAUGCCUCAAAAUUAAUUUGCAAGCUGACCUUGGUAAAUUUGAUGCAAAUUGUUUAAUGAACAAACAUAGAACCAUUGAGGGAACAAAACUUAUUCUUAGCCCAAUUUUGCUCCAAAACUCACUUCCAUCUAAAGUUUUGCAUGGCGAAAAAUUGUUACAUUUUUCGUGAAUAUAUUUUAUAAUCACCUUUUUGCCUCACAUGUAUCAAUUCGCUAUAGUAAUUUUUCUACAAAAAUAUAUAAAAAAAAUGCAAUCCAAACACAAAACUUAUUUCAUGUAUACAACGAUUUUUUUUUUCUAUGUGAUUUACUCCGUACAUUACAGCUGCAAUCGGAGUAUGACACCACCAUCAUAAAUUUCCUAAACGAUUGGCAAGUCAAAACUAAACAAAAAAUUUCCUAAAUAGUUUCCUGGUAGUUUCUGAUUCGAAGAAAUUCUUUUUUUUUUUCUUCUUUUUCAUCCAACGGAACUACGUACUAGCCAGACUGCAUGGGGGGGGGGGGCAGUGAUAAUACCUAAAACGGUGCGCUUUUGAAUAUUUGGCUGUGGUCUACUCGGCAGUUGAUUCAACUCGAGUGAGGACAAGGGAAUUUUCUUUUAUUCCUCUACCUUUUGAUUCCGACUAAACCCGAAUUUACAGCCAAGAUGCUGCAGUGCUGCAAGACAAAUACACCGAUUUCUUUAUGUUUUUAUUUUGUAGUACAGUAUUAUACAAAAAUCCACCGCCUUUUGAUUUCGUCUCAUCUCUCUCUCUCUCUCUCACCAACUAGUUUGUCCACAUAACUAUUGAAUUAAAUCCAUGUCCCACUCCGUUCGAGAAUCAAUCAUCGCUGAUCCCCUCCUAAGCUAAACAAAGAAACCCAACUCUAAUCAAAUCAAUUAUAAUCAAUCCCAUUCACCAAAAAGAAAAAAAAAAAACAAUUCCCUCUUUUUUCUGCCACGUGGAUUUCCACUGUAUCAACCUGGCCCGCUCUCAGUCCACCCUCACGAUCUUUUUGAAAUUUUUUAUUCUCACUCGCAGCAACGCUUAAUCCGGUUCUAUCUCAAUUACGAGAAAUUGCACUGUCAGUCCUUGACACUUGCAGAGCUUUCAUCUGUCGCCGUUUACAUCACACAAUUUCACACUGGUCCUGCUGAUUUUCACUUAUAUGUAGGCACUCCUUUUAUAUAUACACUAAAAAAAAAAAACCUUCUCACCCCUCUCCGCACGCCUCCCACCUCCAACCAAUUGCUAAAUACACGGAUUCGAAUCUUGAACCUAGAGAGACGCCUCUAAAAGUACUGUUAUAAUCACUAAAUAGACUUUAAUAAUUAUCAUAUUAGUACCAUGUGCGCUAAUUAAUCAAGAAGAAAAACAAUCUUAAAAAAGAUUCAGACUACUACUUACGAUUAUUGAAUGAAUACUUAGUAUGAAUUGGCAACAAAUAUUUUCAAACCGGAUGUAAUAAUAAACACAUUAAAUAUUUUGGCAACUUAGUAUCCGGUGUGAGAUUGUAUAUUAAAAAAAAAGUAGUUGAAUUAAAGAUUUGGGAAGAGAUUUUGUAUUAUACACGGACGCAUUACAAUUGAUUGUGUGCCAUGUUGAGUGCCAUGAGGGACCUUAGAAGAUUGCAUUGUAUAUCUGAGACACUGCUGAUGCAAUUUCCCAAAAACUAUUAAAUUUUAUUUUCCGACAAAAGUGUAACAUCGUCGAUCGUGGUUUCUUUUUUAUCAACUUCUGCUCUGAACCCGCUCGCAGAUCUCUCUUUUUUCUCGCUCUAUCAGCAGUCUGCAGCAGAGACAAAGUUCAAAGCUUUCCCCCUCCAAAACCCCAAUAAGUAAGGAAAAAAGAAAUUAUAGCUUCAAUUCAAUCUUGAACUGGCAAUGGUUUCAGUUCUGAGCUAAGGAUUUUUCGUUCUAGAUAGGGUUGUGUUUGGGGAGGGAGGGAGCUCAGGUGGUAAUAAAUUCCAAAUAACGAAGAGGAAAGAGCACCUGAAGUCCUGAACAUGGGUAUUUGCACUUCCAAACCCUCCCCGGAACCCAAUCUUCAUCAAGAUUCCAAGCAAAACCCUAUUCCAACCAAGGAUAAAAAUAACCCAGCCCAGGUCAAGGAUAAUGGUGGAAACUCCAGCAAUCAGCAAGAAAGCAAGAAAUCAGAUGCGGAAUCCGCUAAAAAAUCUCCGCUUUUCCCCUUUUACAGCCCUAGUCCAGCGCAUUAUUUGUUCUCCAAGAAGUCUCCGGCGAGAUCUUCCGCGAAUUCCACGCCCAGGAGGUUUUUUAAGCGACCGUUCCCGCCUCCGUCUCCGGCGAAGCACAUUAAGGCGGUGUUAGCUAAGAGGCACGGGUCUGUGAAGCCGAACGAGGCGUCGAUACCGGAGGGGAAUGAAUCCGAUACGGUGGCGGCUCUGGAUAAAAGCUUUGGAUUUUCUAAGCAUUUUGGAAAUAAGUAUGAGCUGGGAGAAGAAGUGGGAAGAGGGCAUUUUGGGUAUACUUGUAAAGCUAAGUUCAAGAAAGGGGAGCUUAAGGGGCAAGAAGUUGCCGUUAAGGUCAUCCCAAAAGUCAAGGUUUGGCAUUUUUCAGAGUUUUAAUUCUACUUUGCUGACACUUCAGCAUUUUUUUUGUAGCUAUUUUCUGAAAGUUCCUAUUUUCUCUUUUGGUGUGAUCUAUGUGAGUUGAGUAGUGGUAAUCCGCAUUGAUUUAUUGAUUGAUCGUUAUUGAAGUUUCAGAGAUCAGAUCUGUGAAAAGGAAAUUAGAGGAAGCAGUAAAAGAUCAUGUUUGGGAGUGGAAUUUGCCCUUUCUAUAGAUGUUUUUGUCCAGUUGUGAUGUUUAAGUAGUAUACUGGGUUUUAGCUGGAAAGAUGGUAGCGUUGAUUUUUCUAUUCUUCUAGCUUUAGUCUAUGGGAGGUUUUACACGUUUGACCUUAUUUUCCAUGUUUUUCUCCUAGUACAUGUGAUUUUCAAUAAGCAUAUAGGAAGAUUUUUUGUCCUCUCUCUGCUAUUCCUUUUUCAUGAAUAGUAAUAUUGGAGCAGAGAGUUUCCAUGAUCAUGUUUGUAUCACCGAUGCUUGCACUAAUCUUCUGGCUGGCCUUUAACAUUAAAUUGGACUUCAGAUAGAUUCCAUGGAUGGCUGCUUGUUGGUUAUUGUGCGUUAAGAAGACUUGAGAUUCCAUAUAUUACACAAGGAAUUAGUAGUCUUAUAUGAUGUCAGGAUAAUUAGCUUCUGUAGUUAUUAGUACUUGUUUUGGGAGGACGCUCCCGCUAUGUGGAUGAAUUCUAAUGCUCUUCCACAUUGUGCAUUUUUCAUUGUUCAUGUGUCUGCGAUCUGAUACUUAUCCCUAAAAGAAAUGUUCUUUUCAAUCUGAUGGGACAUAUGGAUAGUCUUUUUUUGUUGCUCUAUUUUUCCAGUAUGUUGCUUUUCAUUAGAUUUCUAUAUUUUAUUGCUCUAGGACCAUGUAUUAUGCUUUUGAAUGUGUUUGUUUUCAUGCAUUUCCUGUGAAGUUUGGUUAUUGAAAUUUCUUUUACAGCAAGUAUUUCUUUUCUUUCUCUUGAACCAGAUGACCACUGCCAUAGCCAUUGAAGAUGUAAGAAGGGAGGUAAAGAUAUUGAGAGCCUUAACAGGACAUAGCAAUCUCGUACAAUUUUAUGAUGCAUAUGAAGACCAUGACAACGUCUUCAUUGUAAUGGAGUAAGAUCUGAUAACUUGAUUUGAGGCCCAUCGUAUUUCUUUACCUAUGUGUCUGUGUAUGUAUUACUCAGAGUUUCUUUGCCUAUGUAUCUGUGUAUGUAUCAACUAAGAGACUUUUGGAUCAAAUUGCUUUAGCAGUAAAUUUACAGUUUUGCACAUGUUAUGACUUAUGUGGCUUCAUCAUGUUUUGUUUCUUGCCUGUUGUCGUUUUAAUACACAGAGACAUGUGCAUUCAUUCCAUUGUAUCUGAACGUUUUGACAAUUCUAAAAUUAGUUAUCAUGCUUUUUGAAGGCUUUGUGAAGGAGGGGAGCUUUUGGAUAGAAUACUUUCGAGGUAAUUCACUUGUUUUAGUGUAAUUAAAUACCUGGUGAACUUUAGUGCCGUUGAGUUUCUGAUGGUGUUUAGGAAAGAUAUUGUAGAAUGGAACUCUGUGAUAAAAGGAGCUCUUUUGUUCUGCAGGGGUGGGAAAUAUGCAGAAGAUGAUGCAAAGGCUGUGAUGGUACAGAUUCUAAAUGUUGUUGCUUUUUGUCAUCUGCAGGGUGUGGUGCACCGGGAUCUUAAACCUGAGGUGGGAGAUCUUUUGAUUUUAAACUGCUUAUACUUUUAAUUCUCUCUUGAAUCACAACAUUUUGUUUCUUUCUGCCACUCUCCCUGCCUAUUAGCUUGAUAGUCCCCCUUCCCAAGAAGACUAAACUGGUUGUGAACUUUUGUAACUGAAUUUUUUGUUCAUCAACGUACACUUUUACAGAAGUGAAAUGUCAAGAUGACAUGUUAGUUCUCGGGGAUACAAUAUAUUCAUGCUUGUCAAAGAAGAUAUGCCACUUCAUGUUUAUUUUCCUACCUGCCCUAUGUUGUUGCUGUGCUACAUUCUUGUCUAACUGUGGCUUAUUGCUGGAGCAGAACUUCUUGUUCACUUCUAAGGAUGAGAAUUCACAACUUAAAGCUAUUGAUUUUGGAUUAUCAGAUUUCGUCAAGCCAGGUUUUUUCUCUGUCCCUAGUCUUCUUAAUGGUUAAUAUCUGUAUCCUCCUUUUGGUAGUUCUGGAAAAUUAACUAUCCAACUGAAUGAAAUAAUUGCUUCUCAGAUGAAAGGCUUAAUGACAUUGUUGGUAGUGCAUACUAUGUUGCUCCUGAAGUUCUGCACAGAUCAUAUAGCACAGAGGCUGAUGUGUGGAGUAUUGGAGUUAUAGCAUAUAUUCUUCUGUGUGGCAGCCGUCCUUUUUGGGCUCGAACUGAGUCAGGGAUCUUUAGGACAGUUCUAAAGGCUGAUCCAAGUUUUGAAGAACAACCUUGGCCUGCUCUGUCUUCGGAAGCAAAAGACUUUGUUAAACGUUUGUUAAAUAAGGAUCCCCGUAAAAGAAUGACUGCAGCACAAGCCUUAAGUGAGCUUCCUAUUAUGUGUCGAAGAUAAAAUGUCACUUUUUUAAAUCUUCUUUUCAUGUUUAAAGUCUUCUUGAAAUUUUUGGCUUCAGGUCAUCCAUGGAUUAAACAUGGUAAUAAUGUAAAGGUACCGCUGGACAUUUUAAUCUUCAAACUCAUGAAGGCUUACAUGCGGUCUUCUGCACUUCGUAAAGCUGCCUUGCGGGUAUGUAUUUGCAAAUUGUUUAUCUCAUAUUCUAAUUUCCUAAAAAUGUUGGUAUUUCCCUUUUUUUUUGGGCAUAUCUUUUCCUGUUCUUUGAGGAAAAAUAAACUGGGUUGAGUCCUCCUAAACUGUGUAUCUUUUGUUUGAUGCCACACCUGUAUCAAUGAUAGUUAGGUUGCUGUUUGACUUGUGGCCCUUUCAUUUGUAAAGAGCAAUUGCCUUUGGUAUCCCUAGUUUAUUGGUGUUGUUUACCUCACCCUUCAUUUCAAAACAAGUGUUACUUUGAUGCAUCGAUUAUUGAAAUGAAAGCUCCAUUAUGGCAGCUAGUAGGUGUUUGGGAAUGUCACUUGAAAAGCUCUCCUGGUCUCGUUCUUCUUUUGGUUCCUUGACUUUUGUGCUCUAACUUUGGCAGGCUUUAUCUAAGACAUUAACCGUAGAUGAGCUAUAUUAUUUGAAAGAGCAAUUUGCACUGCUGGAGCCAAGCAAGAAUGGCACCAUAAGCUUGGAAAAUAUUAAAGCGGUUAGUUUAUCUGCAAAAUGUUUUGUUUCUGUUUUCUUACUGAAUUUUAGGAUUUUAUAACUUCUCUUAAUCUUGACUCUAUAUUCGUAUCGUGCCAGGUCUUGAUGAAAAAUGCAACCGAAGCUAUGAAGGAGUCUCGUAUCCAUGAUUUUCUGGGUUCAGUACGUAAAAUUACUGAAACGAUGGAAUUCCUUGUUGUAUGAAGUUUCUUCUGCUUAACUAAUUUGCAUUCUAUCCUUCAGCUUAAUGCACUGCAGUACAGAAGGAUGGAUUUUGAGGAGUUCUGUGCAGCUGUAUUAAGCGUCCAUCAGCUUGAGGCACUUGAUAGAUGGGAGCAGCAUGCUCGCUGUGCGUACGAACUUUUUGAGAAGGAUGGAAACAGGGCCAUUAUGAUUGAGGAAUUGGCUUCGGUAAUUACACUUUUCCAUUGUUCGAUUUGAAUUGACAUUUCAUCGGAUUGCUUCUCGCGAUCCGAAAGUGUGUUUUCUCAGAGCGGAUAAAUUUUGGUAGCAUUACAAACGCUGCAGUGUAAUGAUUUCAAAUCCUUGUUCCAGGAACUUGGCCUCAGCCCUUCUGUGCCCGUUCAUGCUGUUCUCCAUGAUUGGAUCAGGCACACUGAUGGAAAGCUCAGUUUUCUGGGAUUUGUAAAAUUGUUGCAUGGUGUGUCUAGCCGCUCUCUUCCUAAAGUUCAAUGACAGUCGUUGGAGGUGCCCUCGUGCUCCUAAUGGCUAAUGACUGCACAUUUGGGGAUCUUUUGGCAAAUCAAGGAGCUCAUAAUUGGUGAUUGAGAUCAUUUUGCACACCAUCAUUUGCUGCAACAAAGAUUGGACUUUGGGAUUGGUAUUUAGGUCGUGGCAGAGGCUUGGUCGUGUCCAUUAUAUUUUUUUAGAGGAUCAGAACUGUGAUUACUGAUUACCGUGCGGUGAACAUGUGAUUAGGUUUGCCACUGUAAAGCUGUAGUUAAUUUCAUACUCAACGUUUUAGAUUAGAAUAUUUUUCAGUUGGUUCUGGACGCAACCUCUUUUACUAACACAUAGUUACGCCUUGACAUGUUGGAUUGCCCUGUAUCUUCCCUUGCUCUGCAUUUUUUUCUAAUCAAGAAUUUCUUUUGAACUUUUGCCGUUUACCUUCACCUUUCGUUUCUUAAUACUAAUAAUAAUACUCUCCAUGGUGGUUUGUAAUAUCAAAUUUGAUGCACGUUACAUAUUCUUCUAUUGAAAGCGAAACUUGAUGUGAAAUCGAACCCUCGAGUCUUCAGCUUCUUCCCGUCCUAGAGAAUGCUUUUGGUUAACUUUCAACCCGCAAAGGAAGAAGAUGCGAGGUGGAAAUUGUGUCCAUAGAGAGUAUUUUAUCAUAGAAUUUCUAUGAUGGAAGCUCUUUCUCCGGCAUCCUAUAUAUAUCAUAUUAUAGGAUGACCAAAACACCUACCACUCGGGGCCUCCCCGGGGAGAGGGUGGCUCCUACUUUUGGGGAUUAGACUCGUAACCCAGUAUGACCGGAUAUUAGAUUAUUUGGAAUAAUUUUAAAAAUACCAUAUUAUAUAUGAUGUAUAUGAGAUAAAAAAGUGAUUAAAAAAAUAUGUUGAUGAUCUAAGUAAAUAAAAAUUUGCAAAUAAAUUAAAACCAAAAAGUGGCUUCAUGACCAACCAAAUGAGCACCUAUGUAAAUAUAUCUUGGUUGAGGAUUACUAGUGUGUUUGGGUAGAAAAUUAUUUGAAAUAAUUAUUAUAAUAUUUUUUCUUAUGUGAUAUAUGUGAAAUAAAAAAAUGAUUGAAAAAAUAAGAGAGUUAUUAAAAAAUAUAUUUACAAUGCAAACAAAUGAUAUUUAGAAAAAAUUUUCUAUCCAAAGAUGUGAGAUUAUUUGUUUUUUGAGCUUCUCUCCAUCUCCUGCACGACUUUACCCUUUUUUUUUUUUAGUUACAAAGGAGAGCUAAGCAGCUCAAUGCAUAGAUACUAAACGAGGGGCGGUAACCCUCGUGUUAUUCAAAUUCAUCCAUCUCCUAACUAUGUCGGGUAGACUCCGUAAACAAUACAUCCUUGGCUCCUUGUUGAGGCUGUCUUUAGUUAAGCAAUCCGCACUGUUUGUUUCCUUCUUUCUCGUCAAAUGUGCGAUAUCCUUACCUCCCAUUCCUUGCGUCUCCACCAUUCAAUUUGUUUCAGCAGAUUGGAGUGAGGGCCGAAUUCAGGUGGUUUCUUCACUUGACCAUUUUGCAUUUGCCCGCUGUGUUCCUUUUCUUUUUAAUUCUUUCAGUAGGCUCGAGCGUUGAGCAAUUCGGUCUAUACAUGUUUUAGUAAGGUGCUAGAAUAUCUUUACUUUUGAGGAAAUUGGGACAAGAAUAACAACCCCUUGAUUGUGUUAAUUUCUUUUUCGCCUCUAACCAACUGGUGACAUUUAUCCAAAUCAAAAAAUAGAAAAGUUUGUGACCCAGAAUUUGAAGAUAUUCACGUGCACAAAUGGAUAUAGCGAGUUGAUUGAUUGAACAAAUUGCCGUAGAAGAAUACCACUGUAGUAUAUAUAUAUAUGUGUGCGCGUGAGAGAGAUCUCCCUCCGUCUCAUAAAAUUCAUUAUCUGUUACUCGAAAGAAUGUGUAAUUUAUGUAUAAUAAUAUUAAUAAAAAAGAUUAUUUUUACUUCUUUUUAUAUCCUAAGGGCAGCUCCAAUGGGGGUGUAAUGGGGAGCCAUUACACCGCUCCAUGACACGGCUCCCCAUUGGAGCCGUGUCAUGGAGAUUACACGCAUCACAUGUAUGAUGCGUAUAAUCCAUUGAAUGUGGGUCCUAUGGCAACGGUAAAAUUCCAGCACAAAGCACAUUUAACAUUUUCAACGGUUAUAUCCAACGGCACUAUUUUUAGAAUUCUAUAUAAACACACAACACUUUUUGCUAAAACAUAUCCCAAUAUUCUACUCUAUUAUUUCUUUUAUUCUCUCACACACUUCUACUCUCUCACUCAUUUAAUUCAUUUUUUGUGAUUAUGGAUGAAAAUUGGAGUAGUUUUACAAAUAUGUUAAAUGCUCCAAAUAUAGAAAAUUCAGCAUCCUCACAAAAUCAAAACCCCCAAAAUAUUAUGUUAUGGAGUUCAACUAAUUACAUUCCGAAUUAUUAAUUAAGUAUGGAUUAUUAUGAUAUCUUCGCAUUUGAAGUAUCAAAUAUUUGUUUAAUUUCCUACAUAAUUAUUUUUAAAAAAUAACAAUAUAUUAUUUUUGAAACAUAGAAAAAGAUAUAUUAUUCAAACUUAAAAAUUAAUAAUAUCAUUUUUAGAAAAUAAAAAAAUUCAAAAUGUACAAAAUUUAACGAAAGUUAGUACUUUAUUUUUUAAAAAUAACAAAAUUACUUUUAAAAAUUACUUUAUUUAUUUAUGGGAUAUGAGUUAUGCAUUAUUAAAAUAAAUAUUUGAUUAAUUGUGGACCCAUGCUAUUACACCUUGUGGAGUGUAAUCCAUUGUGAGUGAAAGUGUAAUAAAAGAGGAGAAAGUGGAAUGCUGACGUGGCAUGUGGAUUACACUCCACAAAGUGUAAUAGCAUUGUGGAUGCUCGGUGAAAGGCCAUCUUUUAUUCAAUGUAUUGAUAAUUGUGGAGAAUAAGUGAUGGAUUACAUGAAAAGUAAAGAUUAAAUUUCAUUAAAAAGUGGAGUGACUUCACUAAGAUAAAAAUUAGUUUGAAACAAAAAAAAAAAAAGGCAAAUUUUUCGAGACGAAGGAAUAUAAUUUGUGAACGGUCGCUGGGCGCAAUAUCGACCUUUGACUUUGAGGAGCAUCAAACGUGGGACUGUGAUUCCUGUCCAUCAGGAUGACGCCUUGUGUGUACUAAAUUGGAACACGCAGCCGCCUUUUGUCCAUGCAAACCCCAUCCCACACCAAACGUGUUGUGGGGCAUUUACAAAUGGGUCCUCCUGUGUCUGAACUCUGAAUGGCUACUUGCGAGUAAUUGAGUAUAAAUAGAUUUAAGUAGCGUGUCAAGUGGUAGUAUUGUGAUGAAAAAAAUUAGCAAAAAGACUAUUUUGUCCUUAAUUGGUGGGAAAUGCAACUUGUGAGGCUUGUGAUCCAAGUAUAGCUUCCAAAAACAGUAAUGCACGACAAGUAAAGGGUACAGAAAUGAGAGAGAGGGGGAGGGAAGAUAUUUAUAUUUGAGACAAAGACAUUUCAGCCCGAAAAGUGAAAUGAAAACGAUUGAACGAUCAUACGAAUUUAUAAUUAUGUAAUUACAUUAAAAAUAAGAAUUAAUCUUGUAUAUGCUGACAAUUUUAUACAUUAUUAUGAUUAGAUAUAUGAUACACAAGUAAAAUAUGAAUUUGAAAUUUAAAUUCAAAUAAAUUGUCACGAUCUAAUGAUAAUUUAUAUGCAUUGUCAGUAUAUAAAAAAAUUAAUUCUAAAAAUAAACAGAAACUAAAUUAGGACCAGCACUACUAAAACGUCACCGUCACACGAAAGCAGCCCCAAAAAUUAUGAGUCUGCGCUCACUUUUAUAGCAGAAAAGGGCGACAGCUGCUCCUAUCAUUUGCAACUUGAAAUCCUGUACGCAUGCAUGUCGACGCAAGUAAACAGGACAGGAGGUGAAGACUUGUUGAAAGAGCGGGAGAGUAAUGUUGUAAUGAUUAAUCGAUGGAAGACAGUAGUAGUAGGGACGCGCUCUUAAUUUCAUUUCAUUCAGAAAAGACUAGAGUUUGAGGGACGGAGGUCGAUCUCUUGGGUCCAAGCGGAUCGGUCUUGAAUGUGCAAUUGCCAAUAGGUUUGAGCCAGCACGUCUGGGUCCAUAAUCUCUUCCCCUUCUCCGAUACCAAUCUGCUGCUGCUGCUGCUCUUGUUGUUCCCCAACCCCCUUUGAUCUUUGUUGUGAAGUUGAUGACGUUGCUGCCCUGCCAAUCCAUUCGAUGAAUUUAAGUUUUCAAGCCAGCCUUAAUUAUAGCAUCUUCCUCAUACCCGAGUUUAUGACCAGUAUAGUAAUACUGCUACCUAAUUUACUGUUAAAGCAGGGCAUAGUUUGAGGUAUAGCAUGUUUCUUCAUGCCAAAAUCAGGAUUUCAUUGUAGGUGGUUCCCAGUGAGGCAACAUAUUCUUGAAUCCCAACAUAUUAAUGAAUCCCAACUUAAUAUCUCUACAGAAUGUUGAGAAUGACGAACCAAAAAAGAGCUUGGCAGGAAAAAUCAAGAAUCGAGAUUCAGAAAUUUCAGCAAAGAAACGAAUAUGAACAUGGUAAUAAAUUACGCAAGCGUAGCAUAACUCUCCACACAUGCAUAUGCACGAUAGAACUGGCUAGCAAAUUAACCAGGAGAUAAAUAAAAACAGACAAACCGAGGUACGCCGAUAUAGCCGUCUAUGAUGACAUGUGCCACGUGUACACCCUGAGGUUGAAACUCUCUAGCCAGACACUGCGAUAAGGCUCUCAAUGCAAACUUCCCGCAACCUGACACAGAAGUAGAAGUGAAAAAGGGAGGAGAAAACAGUGUCAGAGAAUCAUCUGUUGUCAUACUAUACUGUGCGAUUGCGGGCUGAUGGAAUACAUAGCGCGUUCUUGCAGUUACCAUAUAGUACUGGUAAAACCCUACUUAAUUAGGAUCAGUACAUACAUAAUUCCGAGUAACCGGCUAUUCCAUUAAGGGAAGCAAAACAGCCCGUAAAGAGAAUCGUCCCUCGGCCUCUAUCCACCAUGCCCGGCAGUACCUGAGGUUUCAUCGAUCCCAGGGGCGGAAAAAAAAAUGAACAAUUUAUCCAGGUAAAUCAGAGCCGUUACUAGUUACUAGUUAACUGCUAGCUGUUUAGAGUGGAGAAGAAGUAAUGGACAGGGACCUGUUGGGCACAGUGGAAGGCGCCGACGGAGGAAACGGCGAUGGACUUCUCAAAAUGUUGGACUCUCAUGUCGGCGAAGUUAGUGGGAGGCCAAGACAUGGGAUGGUACGCAUUGUACACCAACACCUCCACGAAACCUAAAGACAGAAUGAAAGAAAUUCUGUGAGGGAAAAGUUCCCUUUCUAUUGCUUCCGUGCCUUCCAUAUAUACAGGUACCGAGACCAGAGUCCUAUUACAUCCCAAUUGAAAAACAGAGUUCUAUCACACCUCAAUGACAGAGGUCUAACAUACCUCAACUACUCCUAAAGAUAUUACCGAGGAAAACGGGUACAGAGAGUAACCAAAGGUACCCAGAUAGACAUAUACCUAAUAUAAUCUUCAAUACCCCCCCUCAAGUUGGUGCGUGCAGAUCACAAACGCCCAACUUGCGAAGAAGAUACUCGAAUUGUUGUCGCCCAAGCGCCUUGGUAAAAAUAUCGGCUAACUGCUCAGAACUACGCACAUAAGUGGUAGUAACAUUUCCACUCUGAACUUCAUCACGCACAAAAUGGCAAUCCACCUCGAUAUGUUUUGUUCGCUCAUGAAACACAGGAUUAGCCGCUAUAUGCAUGGCUGCUUGACUAUCACAGUAAAGAUGCAUAAGACCAGAAUGUAACACCCCAAGGGAAGCUAGCAGACCCUUCAACCAUCGCAGCUCACAGAUGGUCACAGCCAUAGAGCGAUACUCUGCUUCAGCAGAUGACCUGGACACUGUAUGUUGCUUCUUAGUUUUCCAAGAUAUAGGAGAGUUGCCCAAAAAAACAAGGUAUCCAGUGAGAGAGCGACGUGUCAGAGGACAGCUUGCCCAGUCCGAAUCACAAUAUGCUUGCAGUUGCAAAUUGCAGUCCGAUCGAAGGAGUAUGCCUUGACCAGGGCUGCCCUUCAAAUAGCGAACCAUCCGCAAGGCUGCCUCCCAAUGCUCCUCUUUGGGUUUCUGCAUAAACUGAGCUAGAACAUGGACACCAUAAGACAGCUCAGGGCGUGUUAGUGUCAAAUAAAUUAACCGGCCUACUAACCGCCUAUAAUUUUCUGGCUCUACCAAAGGCAUGCUGUCUGCCAUUGCCAACCGAUGAUGUUGCUCCAUCGGAAUUCCUGUUGGCCGAGCACCCAAUAACCCGGCAUCAGCAAUAAUAUCCAGUGCAUACUUUCGUUGACAGAGAAAAAUUCCAGCCUUAUUUCUAGCAACUUCCAAUCCUAAGAAAUAUUUUAAUAUUCCUAAGUCUUUCAUAUGGAAGCAUUGACACAAAUAUUCCUUGAAUUGUUGAAUUGCAGCACUAUUAUUGCCCCCAAUUACAAGGUCAUCAACAUAUACAAGUAUACUCAUUUGAAUGGUAUUCUGACUCAGAGUAAACAAUGAAUAAUCAGAAUGAGAUUGAGAAAAAUCGUACUGCCGUAAGGCAUUUGUGAGUUUAGCAAACCAACAACGUGGAGCCUGUCGCAAUCCAUAAAGAGACUUUCGUAGUCUACACACCUUUCCAAAUUGUGGAGUUGUAAAACCCGGAGGCAUCUUCAUGUACACUUCCUCUUUCAAAUCACCAUGCAAGAAUGCAUUGUGAACAUCCAUCUGGUGAAGUUCCCAUUCCUUUGCUGCCGCCACAGCCAAGAACGUGCGUACAGUCACCAUUUUCACAACAGGAGAGAAUGUUUCAUGAUAGUCAAUUCCCUCAACCUGAUUAUUGCCAAGAAUCACCAGACGCGCCUUAUACCGCUCGACAGUUCCAUCUGAGUUAUACUUGAUUUUGUAUACCCAUUUGCUGCCUAUGGCUUUCUUUCCCGGUGGUAGAUCUUCCACCGUCCAUGUUCCAUUAGUCUCAAGUGCAUCGAUUUCAUUCUUCAUGGCCUGGCGCCACCGAGAGUCCUUCACUGCCUCACUAUAAAAUUUUGGCUCCCUACCGGUUGUCACAGCUGCCAAGAAAGACCGAUGAUGCACAGAAAAAUUAUCACAUGUUACAUAAUGCGCUAUAGGAUAAGGAGUACCUGAGGAUGAGAUUGGUUUGGGUGAACACGCUGAAGGGCUUAUGCAUUGAGCUGUGUACGUCACAUAAUCAUUUAAGCGACUAGAUGGGUGCUUUAUUCGUUGACCACGCCCAAGUUGCUCAGCAACCAAUCCAGCUUCUGCACCUGUGGUGCCCCCCCUGUCUUCGUUAUUCUCAUCAUUGUGAACCCGAUCCGUGAUCUCCGGUAGUAUACUCGCAACCUCUGUAAGCAGAUCAUCUUCCCUUGCAUCAUCCACUUCGUCUUCCACAAGGUCGAAUGGCUCAAGUGAACUUGUCCCCAGGACAUCUUUAGUCGUAUUAGGUGCACUUACUUUCGCAUACGGAAACUCAUCUUCUGAAAACACCACAUCUCGUGAUACAAAAUAGUCACCAUUUUCAAGGUCAUACAACCGCCAUCCCUUCUUACCAAAGGGAUACCCCACAAAUAAACAACGCCGACUCCUAGUGGCAAACUUAUCUCUUUCUCUAUUCAUAUCCCUAGCAUAACACAAACAUCCGAAUACACGAAUAUGUUUGUAACUGGGUGGCUCUCCAAACAAACAUUCAUACGGCGUCUUAUUCCCCAAAAGUUUGGAUGGAGUCCGAUUAAUCAAGUAUCCAGCAGUCAGCACACAUUCUCCCCAAAAUUCAAUAGGGAGAUUCGCCUGAAAACGUAAUGCCCUAGCCACGUUCAAAAUAUGGCGAUGUUUUCUUUCAACCCGCCCAUUCUGCUGGGGUGUUCUUACGCAUGAUGUAUGGUGUAUCAUUCCAUUUUCAGCAAAGUAACCAUCCAAGCAAGUGAAUUCCAUGCCAUUGUCACUUCUAACAAUUUUCACAUUCUUGUUAUAUUGUCGUUUGACCAUGGCAAAGAAAUUACGAAGCACACGUUCUACUUCGGACUUAACAACCAACAUAUAUAUCCACACAGCUCUUGAAAAAUCAUCCACAAUAGUUAAAAAAUAUGAGACACCACACGAAACAGUAGUUCGAUAGGGUCCCCAUAUGUCACAAUGUAUCAUCUCAAAAAUUGCAUUUGCUUUAUUAUCACUAGGAAAAAAUACUUCUCUAGUCUGCUUGGCUCUUAAACAAAUGUCACAAGGUUUUCCCUUAUCAUAAUUGUUACUGCUAGAACUCACAUCAGGAAGUAAUCCUACUAUUUUUGCAGAUGGGUGUCCCAUUCUUCUAUGCCAUAGCCCACUGAUAUCCAGACAUUUGGUAUUGCACGCUUUGAUUUCUCCCAUGGACUUGAGGUAGUAAAGCCCUUCGCGUCGUUCACCCGCUCCAAUCACCAUCCUCGAAGUGCGGUCCUGUAUAACACAUAAUUUUUUAGUAAAUAAAACAUUGCAAUUUAAUUCGUCAAGCAAUUGUGAUACUGAAAUUAAAUUGCAGUUCAAAUUGGGGACAUAUAGCACUUUCUUCGACUUCAUAUGUUUCCCCAAACGAGCUGACCCUUCUUUCACUGCUAUGGUUUGGUUGCCAUCAGGCAAUCCUACUGCACACCCCGUCAAAUUCUUCAAUUCAGAUAGACAUUCUAAGCGUCCAGUCAUAUGGUGAGACGCACCCGAGUCAAUUAUCCAGUUCAAAUAAUGCUUACCCGAUAACUUUUCAUUGGCACCAGGCUUGCAAGAAUUCAGCAGACUCAGGAAAGCUGCCCACUGUUCACCAUUCAACAAUCCUUGUGCUGUAUGCUCCCUUUCUGCGGUUACUGUUGACGAGGAGGACUGACCAAUCGUCUGAACAGAGUUAGCCCGAUGUGCACCCCCACGUCCACGUCCUGAAUUCUGGUUUCCGCGUCCACGUCCUGAACCGCGUCCAUUUCCUUUGGGUCGAUCACCCCACCAUUCAGGAUAUCCAAUAAGCUGAAAACAGUUUCCAGCAUCAUGCCCGCUGCGAUUGCAAUAUGAACACAGCGCAGACCUGUCCUUUAUUUCAGUCCCAAGUUUCCUACCUCCUGCGUUGGCCUGAACGGCAAAACUCACGGGAUCUCCACGUCCCUCCUUUCCUCUAGACAUGCUUCGGACGCGCUCCUCUUGGCAUAUCAAGGAGUAUGCCUUACCCACACUGGGUAGUGGUUCUGUACCAAGAAUGUUUGAACGAAUUGUUCCAUAUGCCAUGUCAUCCAAACCCAACAAGAACUGAUGAAGUUUCUCUUCCUCACGUUUCUUGUCAAGUUGGACUGAAAGAUUGCAUACGCACCUUCCACAUUGGCAUGUCGGAAUUUGUUCAUAGUUUGCUAGUUCCUCCCACAAUUGCUUCAAUUUCUCAUAGUAGGUCACAAUUGGAAGUCCCCGUUGUUUCCAUUCUGCAAUCUCUCCUUUGAUUUGUUGUACCCGAGGCCCGUUAGCGACAGAGAACCUUUCUUGGAUGUCUUCCCAAAGGUCCUUUGCAAUUUCCACAUGAGUUAUGGUGGAACGCAAAGCUGGCUCUAUCGUGUUGAGAAUCCAUGACACUACCAUCGAAUUCACGGUCCACCAAUCCUCUAGAUCGACGGAAUCGUCAUCCGGAUGCGUCACCGUUCCAUCAACAAAUCCCAUCUUCUUCUUGGCUCUCAACGCUGUGCGCACAGCUCGAGCCCAUUCAUCAUAAUUGUCACCUUUCAAUUGUACCUGGGUAAUAAUGGUUCCAGGAUUGUCAUUCGAAGUCAAGAUGUAUGGUGAAACAGAUUUCUUCCCAACAUUCUUGCUUUUCCCUUCGUCAUCCAUAGCUCUGAUACCAUGAAAGAAAUUCUGUGAGGGAAAAGUUCCCUUUCUAUUGCUUCCGUGCCUUCCAUAUAUACAGGUACCGAGACCAGAGUCCUAUUACAUCCCAAUUGAAAAACAGAGUUCUAUCACACCUCAAUGACAGAGGUCUAACAUACCUCAACUACUCCUAAAGAUAUUACCGAGGAAAACGGGUACAGAGAGUAACCAAAGGUACCCAGAUAGACAUAUACCUAAUAUAAUCUUCAAUACAGAACCCCCUCGAAUGCCUCCCUUAUACUUUUCGUGUCCGAGCAAUCAAUUCGAAUCGCAAACACUCGAGCCUUUUCAUCCCUCGCUAUCUCAUCCGCAAAUCUCGACAGUCUCCCUGCAUCUUUUAAUCAAACUGUCAUGCAUAAUUCUGAAGUAGUUGAAAUAAAAAGAUUGGGAAAAAAAAAAAAGAGUGUCAAAGGCAAUAAUCGUCCGUUACUGAUAGUCAGCAAUGUAUAUAGAGUACUGGCCUAAGUCACUGGAGAGGAUGGCAAGGGUGUAGCCUUCGCGGGCGAACUUGCGGGCGAUGGAGAGGCCGAGCUUGGGUCCGACACCCACAAUGGCGGCGAUGCCUUUGGAGGAGGGGGAACUCGCCAUGCUACGCAUCUUUGCGAGCCUAUUCUAGUUGGCUUGCUAACAAAUGGAGGAGUACUAUUUUUAGCUUUUACUACUAAUUCAGUAAUGACGGUACUAUAUGUGUUUAGAGAGUACGAGGGGUGAGUGACACAAGUGGGUUUCUAGGAUUUUGACUCAAAGGUUUAUUACUACUGCAACAACAGUGAAGUCCUACGAAAUCAAUCAGUGAAACCCUCGUCUUUGAUCUUUCCGUCUAGUCGCAGCAGUAUUCUUGAACUGAAGCAGUGGAGAAUUAGGAGACAAUGGACUACUCAUAGGAGGGGGUAUGGUGGUGCGCAGUUUAGAAGUCGUUUUCUGAACUCUAAAUGGGUGUUUCCUAGACGAGAAGCAACGGUGGGGUGAAUAGACUCUCCCACCCUUCCCCCACUCCCAACGCGGUGAGCUUUCAGCUUCGACGGAGUUUCUUUCCUUUUAGCCUGACUGCUUUAGAUCUUUAAUCCGAAUCCGAAGCUUUAGUAGUAAACUGGUAAAGUAUCGACGGAGUUUCUUUCUCUUUAGCCCGACUGCUUUAGAUCUUUAAUCCGAAUCCCCAGCUUUAGUAGUAAACUGGGAAGUAGUACAACCCCAGCCCUCUCAAAAGAAGUUACUGCCAUGGCGAUUUGAAGCUGGAUGUCUCUCCGUUGAUCUCUCUCCUUGUUUAUAUUUAAACUUAAGCAACAUUAUUAUAAAAUUAUGUGAUUGUAUUAUUACUUUCCUUUUUGAUGAUCAAUAUAUUAAAAAAAAUAUUUUUAAAAAAAUAUUUUGACAUUCCAUUUAUACGAAAUAUUUGAACAGCGAAAAAUGGAUGAUAAAAUUUACAAUGAUCAAUCAAACGGCAAAACUUGGUCAAUUCCAUGCAAAAUUUUAUGUAUAACUAGCACAAAUAAUAAACUAUAUUAUAAGCGGUGUUGAUUUUUAAAUUAAUUUCAUUGAAGUAUAAUGGAGAGAAAUUUUCUCUAAUGCAUGCAAUGAAGAGAAGUUUAAUCCGAUUGGAGCCUAUCAAGUUAAGUUGUCGUCCAAUUCAAAUUGAUUUUUUAAGUCUUACAACUAUAGGUGGCGUAAAUUGAUACGAUAUUUAAUGUAAAACAUAACUCUGUAAUUUAUAUAAUGUGUUUGAAAAAGUGCAUAUCCAAACGGACCCAAUAGUAUUUGAAAAACUCAGCAAUCCAAACUGAGCAUAGGUUUGUGCAAAAAUUACGUUUAUAAAAUUUACAUUGGAUGUUGUUAAAUCUAUCUAUACGCACAAAAAAAUUAAGUUUAAACAGGAACUUGCGAAGUCCAAGCCCAUGGCCAUGCCUCUAGUUUAUCCGCCUCCCCCUCUAUUUGAUCUUCUGGUGUUUUCCGGUACGUGACUCUCUGCUUGCAAAGUAGACAAAAAAUUACGAGCAAUUUGACUUUUAAUAAUUCAUAGUAAAUGUCUGCCCACUCACCAGUCACCACGACUGGAUUGGACCACCCCUUUUUUCGUUGUGCAUAGGCUCCACGUUCGCUGCCGGGACAGGCAAUGCGUGACCCCGUUUCGUUCUUCCAACCCACCCUCUAAUUCUAUUCAACUUUACAGCUUCAUGGUUCUUCUUUCUGUCCUUCAUUCUCCGAUCAGACCCUCCAGGAGGAGUUAAUGCCAGCCAAAUCGGAGGCAUACUCCCAGCCUCCGUCCUCCCGCCAGCGAAAUCCAGUUCUGCUGAACCUCUUUUCUGCAAAACAUUUUAGCGUUAAUUCUUGACAAGUGCCUUUUUUUGUUAUUAUUAUUAUUAUGCAGCAUGGAUAUGCCCAACAUUAUGUGAAUUUUGAGCUUCAAAAAUGGCAUAUUCACGGAGGAAGCAUCGGACGAUUCCUGUUAACAAGUUCCAUAGAGGCAUUGUUGAAGAGUGAAUUCUUAGUAUUUCUUUGGUUGGAUUGAUGAGUUCUAGUACUCCAAAUUGUCGAGAGGCCGCGGCCAACUUGGGCGAUAGAUAACCAGCGCAGCCCCACUUACGGCCCUUUUUCUAUAUUGGGAAGUGAAUCUCCUAAUUUGGGGUUUGGCUACGCGGAAGCAGAUCAUCAAUCUUUCAAAAAGCUCCCCAUUUUCUUUACCAGCUGGAGGGUACGCUAAAGUGCAUCAUAUUUCAUAUCCACAACUUGUGUCCCAAUGCCCAGUUUGGCCCUUGGAUUAGAUAUCUCGUGUCGUAGAUGAAUUCUGCUGCCUUCAUAAUUAUCAUUUCAGAAUUUAUCAACCACAACAUUAAAAGCAACCACCCAACACCAAAAAAAACUGAUGCCAAGAAUCCCUUGUAAUUCAGCUGGAUAGGACUUGGAUGUAGACGGGCAACUGCAUGCAAAUGGACAAAUUUAUUUAGCUUCACUCUUCAAUUUAGCAGCAAAGUGUACAUUUUCUCAAUAAAUUAAAUAGGUUGAAUGAUAUAUCAUUUCAAUCAAGACCAUUGCCUUGCUAUGAAAGGCCGCACUUAUCCUACGUACAAAGGUGCUGCUGAGACAGACAACACAGUAGUAGCUUCGAGAAUAUGAAAAUUAACCAAAAAAAAAAAAAAAAGCUUCGAGGACAUGAAAUUACAGUAGGGCAUGCAGGCAAAUAUGGGAUCAGAGGCCUCCACAAUUGUCAGUGAUGAUUGAAUCGCACGACAUAAACACUAACAGAACAAAUGCAGAUACUAAUAUAUAACAAUCGACAAAUAUACAAUAAAUUUUUUCAUUUCUUGAAACUUGUACCUAAAAAUUGUGUUAGUAUUUAUAUUUAUUAUUUUAAUAUGUACAUUACACACGGUGCAAUUAUAACUAAACUAAGAAUUGGUGGUGAUGAUCUUGGUCUACACCAAAGCAAGAAGAUGUAAUAAACCACCUCAGCAGCUAUGUUGUGAACUGGUAUUGCAUAUGGGAUAACGCAUGAUCAGAAAUUUUGUUUUAACAGGUUCGUAGCAUUAUAUGUAAAAAAAAAAAAAAAAAGAUGUCCAAUUCACUGAUUUUACCAUUUCCCCUUUCCUUGCUGCAUCCUUGAAUAUAGCUUCAAUGGAAAGGGGAAAAAAAUAUACCAAUAAAUAAGAAAGAGAAGAGAUGUAUCCCUCUCUAUCUUUAGAAACUUAGAGGUAGAUCAAAGGAAGAGACAGCGGGCGUGAUUGGAGAGCACGAACUGAAAAACAGGAAAUAGAUGUUUAAAUGGGCUGGGACAAAGACAGAUUAGGGAGGCUCCUGAGUCCUGACUUGAAGAUCCGUGUUGGUUUGGAUUUGCAAGUUACCUGUUGUUAGCAAGACAAUUCACACGACGGGCCAGGCCCGGAUUACUACUGGGCUUUUUGCUUAGAAAGUCUAAAAUAAAUGGGAAAACCGAAAUAAAUAAAAUUAAAUAUAUUAGUAGCUCGUUUUAAAAAAUAUAUAUAUAAUAAUAGGAGUGUAAGAGUGCAAUAUUACAAUUUAAAUCCACAACAUAACAAUUCAAGAUGCUUUAAUUAGCCUGAUUUUUUUUUUCUAUUUUAAGACCAGACACUAAUUUUUUUUAUGUAAUUCGUUUACCUACUUACUUAUUAAAGUAACAAAUACAUCACCGUCUACGACACAUUGAUAAUAGCGGUGCUAAGCACCAAAAAAAAAAAAAAAAAAAAACUCAAUGAGAUGGAUGUAGUUUUUAAGACAGUAUAUACAUGUUAUUAACAUAAUAUACCAAGCUUACUUUUUAAAAUCAUCAAGUUUGAAAUCAAUUACAUUAAGACCUCGUAAUUCGAAUAAAUAUUCAAGUAAGUCCUUUAUAUAAGAGCAGCAUGUAAUUCAUCUUCUUGUUUUUUAAUUUUUUUCUCAUGUAGGAUUUAAGAAACGGAAAGAGAAAAGGAAAAUUAGAACUCAAGACCUCUAAGUGACUUGUAUUUCUUUUUGUUUGUGUAAAGUUACACUCUGAAUAUUUAACACUAUAGCAUGUGAUGUACUCCUUCCGUCCCACUUUGAUAGUCCUGUAUUCUUUUUUCAUCUGUCCCAAAUUGUAGUCCACUUUCCAAUUGAAGAAUGUAGUUGUAUUUUAAUUUUCCUAAAAUACCCUUAUUCAAUGUAAAUAGUUGUAACUAUAAACCUACCCCAUUUAAUGAGAGUUGAUUCUUUUUUUACCAUCAAUUCAAGUUCCCAUAAAGUUGUAUCAUAUUUAAUGUGAGGGUAUUUUAGAAAAAUAGCAAUCUAAAUUUACUUUUCCAACAAAGUUAACUACUUUUUCUUAAACUGUGUGAAAAAAGAAACAGGACUAUCAAAGUGGGACGGAGGUAUAAGAUAAAUAUAAGCAGAUUAUUUUGUUAAAAAAUGGGGAGUACACAUGAAAAGGAUGCAUGCAAUGCAAGAAACGAAGGACUCGAAAGCGCUGCAUAGCACACCGCUUUCUAUUCUGUUUCGAGCGGGUUGACUUUGUUAAAUGGACCCAGCACGACUUCAUUUAAGAUUAAAAUGUUCUGUUCCCAAUUUUUAUAAUAUUUUUACCACUUUGCUCCCGACCUCUUUUUUAAUUACUUUUUUCUUCCGUUUCUUAAUUUUAGUUACGGAAAUCAUGUUCGUUGAUGAAUAGCUCAAACGAUUUCAAAAUCAAUGAGCUAAAAGCACCUUCCUCUCGAUCUCGAUAUCUGUAGGCACUUUUGGAGUUAGUGUUGUCAUUCCUAAUUUGAUUUAGGGAACCGAUCAGCUGAAAUUGGAGAGGAAUAAUUGAUGGAGUGGGCGACGCUACAGCAUCUAGAUCUCCGGCACGUUGGUCGGAGUUCGAAAUCCU